CUUAAAAAACAAAAAAUAUACAUAUUAAAAAAAAAAAAAUCUUAGCUACUAUCUAAACUUUGGUCUAAUUAUAAACCAUCACUCAAAUUUAUCUAAAGCCGAUCACUGAUCCAAUUUGAAUACGAUGAAUUUGAUUUUUAAGGCUAAAAAUAGAAUUAUCGCAUAAACUUUUGGACCGAACAAUUAAACGCUCUCUCUUUCGCAUUAACUCAUAUGCAAUCGUUCUCACGAACAUGUGUUUACAAAUUUUUAUAUGAUGUGAAGUUACAAGCAAAGUCGAGUUUGUGUAACUCAUGACCAGCUCAGUGUAAUAAUUAUUGAUUACGAUAAUAAUAAUCAAUUUACUUUAAUCAAUUACUCUGACAUGGUUGUACUAUGAUCGAAAUAAACGACAUGACGAUAGAACUUACCAAGAUAAAAAUGCAAAUCGAUAUAAGACAUCUACGUAUCUAAUCCGAUAAUGACAUGACACGAUGCCAUUAUCAUCUAAAUCCAAAUAUCGUACACAAAUACAAUCAGCUUACCUAGAUUGCCACUAUUAAUGUGUUUUUAAGAAAUUGUAACAUUUCUUAGAAUUUUAAAGGCACCGUGGCAAAAGAUUCGAUGGUUGAUAUCUGACCGACUGUUUAUUGCGCAUGAUGAAGAAUUCGAUGGUUUGUAUCUGAAGGCUCAAAUCUAAAUUUUAAUUAUUUUAUAUUUUCAGUUGAGUUUGUUUAUAAUAGUGAUUACAUUGGUCCAAAGAACAGAGGGUUUGGACGAGCCAUUGGAACUAAUGGGCCAUUCAACAAAAUCCAACGCAAUGCUUCUAUUAAUUUGGGCCCACAAUUAUCCAUUACUGAACCCACGAUUUGAUAAUGGGAUACUCUAGAUCCAAUAGCUCAUUGGACUUAUCCAUUAGCCCAAAAUACUAUAGUCUAAUUAUUAUGUCCAAUUUAGAUAGAUUUAUAUAUCUCCAUAUUUAGUCAUAACUGUAUGAUAUGGGACUAAUCUUAAGUCUUGAAAUGUCAUAUAAUGUUGGGACUGAGAGGAACGAUAUUCUUUUCCGAGCAAAGCUUUGCAACUCUACCCGAGCGCUUGAUCGCCUCAGACUACUGAUGACAGCUUGGAAGACGUGUCUUUAACUGCCUCGUCUAUUUUUUCGAUCUUUUGGUCGUUUCCUUCGUUUUGCUCAUCUGCUGACUUGUUUGUGUUGUCGCCUUUUAUUAUUUUAUUUUCGUUCAUUUUUGUCUACCUUUUUCCUUCUCUUUUUUCUUUCGGAGGCUCUGAUUGCUUCUAUUUUAUAAGCGUAGUUUAUUUUCCUAAUGAAUGAAGCAAACUAGCUUGUUAUCUAUUCCUCAAAAAAAGAAAUGUCAUGUAAUGUUAGGAUAAACCGGGCUUAAUCCAGCCUAAUUGCUAUUCAAUCGACUUAAACUUCAUUUUUAUCCUGAUUUUGGUGAUUAAUAUUGGCUGAAUAUAUACAUGAUGGGCCCUGAUUUUAAGCAAAGUGAAACUUAAAAGUUUGAGAUAAGCAAUUUACACCUGCUCAUAUUCUGAAAUCCUCACAAUUAGGACUUAGAACUCAAGAUUUAAAACUUAAUUCAUUACCUUACCACUAAGAUUCAAGUGACUUCUCAUGUAUAUAAUUCAAGUAUUAUUUAUUUAUUAUCAUUCAAAGUUUUUUUUAAAAAAAGCAACAAAUGACAGAUCUUUUGUUUUCGUUUUUGUGAACGGUGACUAGAGCAGCACCGCAUACACUAUCUCUCAAGUGGAAGACAAAAAGUCUCUCCUGUGUGUGUGGAGCUACUAUUCUUUCGAAAUCAUAAACAAGCUGCGACUUUCGACUUUUUAACCUUUAAAUAAAAAAUUAUAGAGUCGGAAGAUAAUGAUCUCCCUUAGAGUUGAGUGGUUUUCGUAGGAUAAUAACAUAAAUCUAAAGAUCAGAAUUAAUAAAAAUGAUUGAUCGAAGGGCCAAAAAUUGAAAGUACCAAAUCUCUUAUACCUUCGAAAGUAUAGUAGGUUUACUCUCUCUCUCUCUCUAUAUAUAUAUAAUAUAAUGCAUUAAAGCUGCUAUUUUUUAUAGUAUUCCACCAAAUAUAAAGUUUAGUCUUUAAUUUUAAAAUUAGAAAAGAAUCAGUAAUUUAUUUUUGCAACGACACGACCCGCUAGCAACAAUAACUCGUUCGGCCCAAACCACCUGCCCAAAAUGCUUAAGCCUAAUUAUUAUGACUAGCGUGUAGGCCUCAUAGAAACUAAUCGGAAUCAGUAUCACUAUUGGAGCUCGUCGGAUCCAAACUAGAUCAUAGAUAGAUAGAUAUAAAGAUACAAAUAGACAGACAGACCAUGACCAGAAUUACCAGGUGAUGUGAGAUUCUAGAGGUGGCUUCUACGGGUUCAAGGGGUUUAAACCAGGUGAGAUUCUAGAGGUGGCUCCUACGGGUUGAAGGGGUCUAAACCAGGACCAGAAUUACCAGACGAUGUGAGAUUCUAUAGGUGGCUCCUACGGGUUCAAGAGGUGGUUCCCACCAAAUCCGUUGGCGUAGCACUUUGUUCCGCAUAGUGCUUAGCUCUCAUACUUCCGAAAGGUAUUCGUCUCUGAUACCAAGUGCAACGAUCCGACCCGCUAGCAACAAUAACUCGUUGGGUCCAAACCACCAGCCCAAAAUGUUUAAGCCUAAUUAUUAUUACUAGCGUGUAGGCCUCAUAUAAACUGAUCGGAAUCAGUAUCCCAUCCGAUGUGAAACUAUUGGGGCAUUAUAAUUUUUAAACUAUUUGCAUCUUAAAUCAUUUGGUCAUUUGGCACUAAUUGGGAUAUACGUUUGGAGGAGUAUUUUGCACGUAGGUUUGCUGAAAAACAAAACUGGAACUGUCACAGAAAGAUAAAGUAAACAAAUGAAGCCACACAGAGCUUGCUAGACCAUUAGCCCUCGCCCCUAAAACACAAAAAACAAAAAAAAAAAAAAAAAAAAAGAUUCGGACUCCUCUUUGUCCUCUUCCCGUCUCCCAAGAUGCUAUUUGCCUAGACCUUGCCACCAUGCCAACUGAACCGUGCAAGUUUUUUUUUUUUUUUUUUUUUUUUUUUUUUUUUUUUAAAUAGAGCUAUUUUUCAGCUAAUAUGAGUAAAGUUCUAAAUCUUAUUCAUUACGAGAAAAGCUCAAUUCACUUUCUCGGCCAUUUUAAUUUAAUAAAUAUAUUAAGCGGCUCAACUUAAGUUUAGAAAUAGAACUAAUUUAAUUUCAAUGAACAAACCAAACAUUUGAAAUCAUAUUUUAAAAAAUUUGGAAUUAAACGUUCAGUGAUGAUGUUUAAGCAGAUAGUUGAGAAAUCAUUCAUAAUAUAUAUAUAUGUACAUGCCAAACUAAUAUUUUUAACAUAUCUUUAUCAGAUUAUUGGUAUUAAUCAUUAAUUUCAAAAUGUUAAGCUAUUAGAAAAUUACAACAAAUUUAUUUAAAAUAUAUAAAUAUAACGCUUACGAAUCUCGAUUCGAUCUACAUAGUACCCUAUAAUUUUAAAUAUAACUCAGUAUAACUUGACCUUCAGUCAUAAGCUAGGAUAGUGGCUCCUUUAAAACCAACAAUCUCUAUCGAUUGCUUAUAGGUUGUUUUUUUUUGCAGUAGACCGAUUGGUCCAUUGCUAACAUGACGCACUAAGUUUAGGCAAUGAUAAGACUCUACUUUUUUUCAAUAAAUAAUUUUUUUAUUUAUAUUAAAACUAAAGUUGUCUAAAAUAUCCGAUAUACUAUACUCGAUUCGGACCUUACCCGGAUCCAAAUCGGACCCGAUAAAAAAUGAAUAGUUUAGAGUAAAAAAUAUUAUUUAUUAAAAUUUCGGAUAUAAGUCAGAAUACUUUAUAAUCUAUACCUGGCUUGGACCCGAUCCGAAUCCGAUCUUUUAAUAGGUAGGGUCCGGAAGAGUUUCCAAAUAUGGACUCGAAACCGGACUAGGACUUGGACCCGAUGAAAUAUUCGAUAGUAAAUAAAAAAAAAUUAAAGUUGAGGAAUCAAUUUCAAUAGAACUUAUAAAUAAAGUGUCUCUACAUAUUUUCAUCAUAAUAAAAAUUCUAAUCUUUUUGUUUACUUUUUUUUUUUUUUUACUCAUUUUUUUUUUAAUUCUAAAUGUUUACUGUUUAAUUUUUUUGAACAAAUUUUAUUGGAAUAGGUGCAACUAAUUAGAAUGCGGAACUUUUACAAUGAUAGGUUUAUGAUUUACAGCUAUUUGUAUUCGUUUUAGACCUGAUUCGUAUCCGAUCUAUACCCGAUUUUAAACGGUUAGCAUCUCAAGUAGAUUCGGUGAAUAUAUUAUUAAUUUAUGUACCUAGAUUCAACCUCGAACCGAUAGAAUAUAAUUUUUUUAAGUGUACGAUUAUAGUAUUUAUAUUACCUAGACACCUUCAAUUAAAACCCCUCUCACUCCCCUCCGUCUCUUCCACCACCUCCACCUCCGCAGCAACACAAAACAACACCAUUAAUUAAGAGAGGUGGUGUUGUUGUUGUUGUCGUCGUUCAUGGUGCUCAUGGAGCACUCCCCGAGCUCCCUCCUCCGCCUCCUCUUCCUCCUCCUCGCCUCCCUCCUCCUCCUCCUCUUCCUCCUCUCCUACUCCUACCUCCACCUCCCCUCCUCCCCCUCCUCCUACCUCUCCUCCUCCCCUAAACCCACCACCCAUAAUCACGAAGAGGACGUUCCCCACCACCCCCUCGACCCCCUCACCAUCCGCGAGCUCUCCCUCGCCCGCUCCAUCCUCCUCUCCACCCCUCCCUUCUCCUCCUCCUCCUNCACCCUCUCCUCCUCCUCCUCCUCCUCCUCCUCCUCCUCCUCUCCUCUCUCCAUCCACUCCCUCUCCCUCCUCGAGCCCCCCAAGCCCCUCGUCCUCUCAUGGCGCCCGGGCGCCCCCCUCCCCCCUCGCCGCGCCCUCGCCGUCCUCCGCUUCCGCUCCGCCCCCUACGUCGUCUCCGUCGACCUCUCCGGCGCCACCGUCUCCCACCUCCCCUUCAACUCCUCGGGCUUCCCCGCCAUGACCAUCGAGGACAUGACGUCGUCGACGUGGGCGCCGCUCGCCGACCCCGAGUUCAACCGGACGGUGCUCGCCCGCGGCGUCCGGCUCUCCGACCUCGCCUGCCUGCCCAUCUCCCCCGGCUGGUUCGGCCCCGACGAGGAGGGCCGCCGGGUGAUCAAGAUCCAGUGCUACUCCGCCGACGGCACCGCCAACUUCUACAUGCGCCCCAUCGAGGGCCUCACCGUCCUCCUCGACCUCGACACCAAGGAGGUCCUCCGCAUCUCCGACCGCGGCUCCGCCAUCCCCAUCCCCGCCGCCGCCAACACCGACUACCGCUACGACUCCCGCACCGCCCAAACCAAGAAGAACAAGCGGGUGCGUACUGCUGUGCACCUCCCAUCAAAUUAUAAAAAUAUUAAAACACCGUUCUCCUCCUCCUGAUAUCAUAUGACCCGUGUCUCACGAUAUCUAUCAAAGGAGGCGUACGGUCUCAUCCAUCGUCUAUCAUGAUUAGUUAGCGCGAAUUUUAAAGCAUGUCGAAUGGCGGAUAUAUGAGACGGUCUUAUUCUGCGGACUGUCCUUUAUAAAAUUAUUGUCUGUUUUUCCGGUCAGAAUAGAAGCAUGGUAUAUGGUGGACGAGACCGUCUUAUGAUACACACCGUCCUUCAUAAAAUUUUGUCUCUAUGGCUAGUCAGAACAGAAGGUGCUGAGUUCGUAGGCAAGCAUGACACGAUCAUCGAUCAAUCGGCAUGGUUGUUUUGAAUGCAAAACAGGUGCGUCCGGUGAACCCGAUGUCGAUGGAGCAGCCGGCGGGGCCGAGCUUCGAGGUGGAGAACGGGCACCAGGUGAAGUGGGCCGGGUGGGACUUCCACAUAAAGGCGGACGCGCGGGCGGGGAUCGUGGUGUCCGGGGUGGGGAUCGUGGACCCGGAGAGCGGGGAGCGGAGGGAGGUGAUGUACAAGGGGAUGGCGUCGGAGCUGUUCGUGCCGUACAUGGACCCGUCGGAGGCCUGGUACUUCAAGACCUACAUGGACGCCGGCGAGUACGGGUUCGGCCUGCAGGCCAUGCCCCUCGUGCCGCUCAACGACUGCCCGCGCAACGCCUACUAUCUCGACGGCGUCUUCGCCGCCGCCGACGGCCGGCCCUACGUCAGGGAUAACAUGAUCUGCAUCUUCGAGCGGUACGCCGGCGACAUCGCGUGGCGCCACUCCGAGAGCCCCAUCACGGGAAUGGAUGUAAGAUCCGAUAGUGAAGCACAAAAACCUGCACACUAUUAAAUAGAGCCACAAAUGAGAACCAAAUAGAAUUUAAACUUGAUAAAAGUGUUGCAGAUAAGGGAGGUGAGGCCGAAGGUGACGCUGGUGGCGAGGAUGGCGGCGUCGGUGGCCAACUACGACUACAUCGUCGACUGGGAGUUCCAAACCGACGGACUCAUCCGCAUCAAGGUCUAUCUCAUUCUUUUUUGUUGAAUAUUUUAAAAAUAUUAAAUAUCAUUCUCAAUCAGCUUUAUUUUAUUUAAUUUUUUUUUUACAAAUUAUUUCAAUUGGAUUUUAUUUAUUUCUAAUGGUGACUAUGAAUAGAGUGGAUAUAUAGGGACAGAGAUAUUUUCGUGUUCAUUUGUAGAUGCUUGCUACAUGACAUUCAUUGCCGAGACGACUAUUUUGGACGCACUGUAACCGUUGUGCAUCACUGUUGCCACAUGGACAAUUGGGAUGCACGCAUGAGAGAACCUUUGACACUUCAACAUCGUGCAUGUUUCAAUUUUGACUUUUUCAGCUUCAAAUUUUAAGAUAAUUGGAGCUUAAUUUAAUAUAGAUGCUUUUUAAGUCCAUAUAAAUAAAAUUCAGAGGGUCAAUUUCAAAAGAGGUUAAAGUUUAGGGGGUGUGUACCGAGUGCCUGAUGCGCAUUUUGACACGGGUCGGGUCCAAUGUGAUCGGGUUCGAACCCAAUGUGCAUGUGAUGCGUGCAUGCAUGCAGGUGGGGCUGAGCGGGAUCCUGAUGGUGCGUGGGGCCCCCUACACGCACGUGAGCGAGGUGCCGGCGCACGUGGACCCGUACGGCACGGUGCUGUCGGAGAACGUGGUGGGGGUGAUCCACGACCACUACGUCACGUUCCGCCUCGACCUCGACGUCGGCGGCGCCGCCAACAACUCCUUCGUCCGUGUCGCCCUCUCGCGCCAUGACACCUCCGCCGACCGGUCAGGGUCCAAGUCGCCGCGCGCCAGCUACCUUGCGGCGACGCGCCACGUUGCGCGGUCCGAGGGCGACGCGCGCGUGCGGCUCAGCCUCUACGACCCCGCCGAGUUCCACGUCAUCAACCCCGCCAGGACGACGCGUGUCGGCAACCCCCUGGGUUACAAGGUCGUGCCGGCUGGCACCGCCGCCAGCUUGCUUGACCCCCAGGAUCCGCCGCAGCUCCGCGGUGCGUUCACCAAUAAUCAGGUAAUUAUAUAUCUGAGCUCUACCACCACUGUAUAGAAUAGUUAGGUGGUCACUAGAAUAGCUAUUUAAGAAGCUGAGAAAAGGGUUCCAAUCCUACACAUGCGUUUUAUUAAAGAAAAAUUAUAAGUGCUUGUAUACAUAGAGAGAUAUCUUGUUCAUAUGUAUAUCUAGUUAUUGUCUUUUUUUUCUGAGAGAUAGGUAAGCGUGUUACCCGCUUCGUUUAUUUCAUUUAGAAAUAAAUAUAGUUGGAAAUGUGAAUCAACUAAGAUUCGAAAUUAAGACCUCGAAUAUCAACCACCAAGCGCUUUAUCUAGUUAUUGUCACAUGAUUUUGUUUGUGCUCCUCUUAUAAUUAAAAUGACUACUACAUAUGAUGUGUGCUAGAUUUGGGUGACACCCUACAAUGAGAGUGAGGAAUGGGCUGGGGGGCUGUUUGUGUACCAAAGCAAAGGGGAUGACACAUUGGCUGUUUGGUCAGAAAGGUAUGGUGGUAAAUUAAUUUUUCAUAAAUUAUAAGAAUCUAAUUCAAUAGUUCUUUUGUGAACUUAAUUUGAUAGUUUUGUUGAUGAUUGAUGAUAUACACAUAUAUUUUAAUAAGUCAGUUUUAUGUAUACAAUAUCUAUUCAAUGUUUCAUUAUUAUAAUAUAUACAUAUAUAUAUUUCAUUCCAUAUGUGACAAUUUAUUCGUACAAAAAAGAGUAAAUCAUUUAGUAGUAUCGAUCAUAUGUAUAAAAUUGACCCUCAUCAGCUAAUUUAAGAUAUCAAUAGCAUUACUUAUUGAAUUACGAAUUUAUUUUAAUUAAAUAAGACGAAAGACGGCCCCCUUCAAAAAUCAGACAUUGGAAUCUUUUGGUUGGAAUUGUUGAUUCACGGCGCUACUUAUUUGACUGAUCUUGUUUAAUUAUAUGUGAUUGUGUUUCUGAAUUUCUAAAAGUUUAAGAUGUUAGAGAACAGAAUUUUAAUAUUUGUACCGACAUUCUUCUUGGUUGUUGUUGUUGUUGUUGAUGAAUGUACACAGGGAUAGGCCAAUUGAAAACAAGGACAUUGUGUUGUGGUACACCCUAGGGUUUCACCACAUACCAUGCCAAGAGGAUUUUCCGAUCAUGCCGACGGUGUCUUCAAGCUUCGAUCUCAAGCCCGUCAACUUCUUCGAGCGCAAUCCUAUCCUCUGGGACCCGCCGAACUCCGAGAAAGACCUACCGGUUUGCACUGCAGCGUCAACAGCGGCGAUGGCGGCUUAACGGAAGCGUAUCAGUUCUCCUCUUAGACAUUAUGAGCUUCUUGAAUGAGAAAAAUGGGGUAAUUGAUGCAAUGAAUGGACUAGAAUUUUUGUACAGUGGUUUCUCCAUGAAAGAUGUUGCUGCAUUUUGAAACUUGGGCAUAUAUUGUAAAAUAACUGUUCGACUUUUGAAAAUAAUUAAGAGACCGAAGGAUAGUAUUUUAAUAUUUUAUGUUCAACACUUCUGUUUAGGCUUGAUACUUUUUUAUAGGUAAGACGAGAGAUUUAAACUCAAACUAUUUGCUCUGAUACCGUGUGCGGAAAUAACUUAUGUUAACUCUAUCCUAUCAUAUCAGGGAUUUGCCUGCACUAUUUAUAAUUACACUUUGAUGACAUUGGCACAGUAAAUGUAGAUUUUCCUUCUUAUGAUUUGUAUUAUUUAUCUAUGAAAGAGGGCGAGAAAUUGAGUACACUAAUGCUAUAUAUAUAUAGGCUUUAUUUCAUGCAUUAAGGUGUGAGCUCAACCUGGAUGAAUUUUUAGUAAUCUCCUUGAUCAUAUAUUUCACAAUUUACUUAUCUCUUUGUUAGAUAUUUGUUCUUCGAAUUUACAAAAAUAGUUUUAUCAUGUUAUGUUUCAGCCCCUGCUACUAAUUAAUGAUAAGAUCUCUGAUAGGGAAUGAUCCAAUCAUAUCAAAAUGAUGUUUUAAUUAGAGAUAACCUUGUUCUACAUCACUGUUGGGGAAAACCUAUAAAUGAUGCUGGGUCCCAACAAGAGACUUGCAAACACAUGAAGCAGACCCUUCAACCACUCCAGAUGUUGAUAUUAAACAUUUUGAAACAUGGACGAGUCCAACAAGUUUUUUUUUGAGAUAUAGGCAGCAUUCUAUCUGUUUUGUUUAUUUUAUUUAAAAAUAAACUUAGCUGAAAAUGUGAAUUAAUUAGAAUUCAAAUUUGGAAUCUCGGAUACCAACUACCCAAGUCCUUUGCCAAGAGUCCAACAAGUUACCGGUACUGAUAUGCCAGGUUGUUACAGCUUUGCAUAUCUUAGAAUAAGUGAAUGGUUUAACUUUUUAAGGUCGACGCUCAUGUCAGAAUUCAUAUUUAAAAUUUCUACAGAUAAAUUAUCUAGCUACUAACUGUUAUAUGUACAGAGCUGACUUAUAAAUUCUAUAUUUUGUGGUCCAGUUUGAAAUACAUGGAGCACAAUUUGAUUGAAAAUUUCACAAGCAGUAAUUGAUUCCACCAAUCCCACCAUUUAGUGGAAUCCUAUGGUGAUUCCAGGCCAGCACUGCAGGCCAAAGCCAGAGAAAGCAAUUGGCUAGCUGGUGAUGAUGAUCAGAGGAGAAAAGUGGGAUUCCUCCAAAAGCACUUCUCGAGUUGAUAAAAUAUCUUGGAUGCACCAUCAUCUCCUAUUGUCUCUUAUUAGAGUUAGGAGAUUGUGACCUAAAGAUAGGGAUGAUGAGCAUGCAACUUGGGCUAGCUUCAAAGGAGAGCAAGUGAAAGGUCCCAUUCACAAACUACUUUUGAUCUCUUAUUUUUGGACCAUUUUGGAUGCAUAAAUAUCUUAUUCUAUACCAUUUUUUUUCAAACUUGCUCAAACGUAAAAAUAUUCUAUUCAUUAAUAUUAUACUUUUUUGUUUAUUCGGGGAGUAUGGCGUAGUCAGUAGAUGAAUUAUGAUCGGACGCUAAAAAAAAAAUCUAAUAAUGUAUUAGUAUCAAUGAAUAGGUUAACUAUUGUUGCCUAUUUGUUGGAUGUAUAAUUAAGUGGGUCUCUUCUAAUUGGACUAUAAGAGUUUGAGAGUGAUGGAGUGGUGACAAAAAAAGUUAAUUUUUCAAGGAAGAAGCACUUAAUUUGUACCUAAUCAUCAACUUAAUUAAAUUAAAAACCUUUCUUGGCCACUAUAGAACAUUUUUCAAUGGCCUAUUGGCUUAAUUUCUUAAUGUUGAUAGUGACCUCGGAAUAGCGUACUAUGACGUAACCAACAUACAACAAUAGGAAAAUGUUAUUUGUGCACUCUAUUAGCCUUAUAAUUGGAGUUGCAGUGCUAUUCGAUGUAGCACUAUUUAAAUUGAAGUUUCUGUUUUUGGACUUCAGAAUUUUAUUCUAAUUUUCCACCAUGUUUGUAAGUUUUUGAAUUUUGUUUGCUAUAUAUGUAGUCUAUUUAAAAUAAUUGCCACUACAGAUACAUGAAGCAAAGUUCAUUAAACACUUUGUGUGUACAUAUCAUCUUUCCUUUUACCCAGGUUAUACUCAUAUAAUCACCAAAUCAAUUUUGUAUCAGCUUUAAAUUAAAUGCCUUUCUUAUUCUUCAAUCAGAGGGACCCCUUACUGUAACCAAAAUUUUUCAGAUGCCCUUUUUUUCACUUUUACGUUAGAGCAGCUGGUUGAUAUAUAUUCUUAUUGAAUCCUGUGGGUCUUGAAAUUUGAAUUCGAAAUUGUGCAUUUUAAUUACAAGUAGGUUUAGGGGAUGUGGAGGUCAUCCAUAGAUUUUAAUAAGAACGAACAAUCACAAAUCAAUAGAAAGUUUUUAUAUACAUAUAUAGUUACAGUAAUUCCAAUGUAUAUAUAUAUAUAUAUAUAUCCUCACAAUAUUAUAUAGCAGGAUAUAUAUAUAUAUAUAGAACCAAGGAUAAGAAGGAACUUAUCCUCACCUACAAGCUAGCUAUUAAUUUUCCUUGUACUAAAUCAACAUAUAUUCUAUGAACUUUUGUAAUUUAUAUCAUUUGAAUGACCUUCAAAUAGAUUUUUUUUUUUUAACUUCUAUUUUUUAUUUUUUAUUUUUGGACAGAUGCUUGUGGUCUACACACAGGGAAAUCAUCUUCAGUAUAUGGCUUGGCCCUAAGGAUAGGGUUCCUUCUGAAGAAGUUAACAGGCUUAAGAUCAAAUGUGGAGGACACAGUGGGCAUGAUAGGAUAGUCCUCUUGGCAUGGGAUGUGGUGGAACCCCAUUGUGUACCAUAACACAAUGUCCCUAUUCUCAAUUGGCCUAUUCCUGCCACACACAAAAAAAAAAAAGAAAAAAAGAAUCAAUUUUAUUCAUUAUUUGAUGAAAAAUUAGAGUAAAAGGAGAUUUUGCUUAUAUAUAACCCUGCAAAAUUACCAAUUUAAUAUAUUAAGUACACAUACUUAUGUAAAAGAGUUAUAUAUAUAUCCAUGCAAUGGUGGAAGUUUCUAAUUGUAGUAAUCAGUAGGAGCUUAAUUAACUAGGUUUUGCAAAGCUAUGAGCUUGUUUGCUUUGGUUGCUGUUUUUAUUUUCAGUUAUAAUCAGAGACAAAAAUUUAAAAUAUAUGGCAUGCAAAAAAACUGAUCUUGGAAGGUCAAUAUAAAUGUUUUACCCAAAUAUUAAUGAGGUGUAUACAUGUAACUAGAAAUAUUUUACCCAAUAAAUUGAUGGUUUUUGAAGGAUAGCAAUAUAUAAGAUACAUGAAAUUAUGGAAUGAAAGGAAAGAAUUUAAUAAGCUAACUUACUUUUCAGACCACUGGGCAAGUGUGUCUUUUCCUUGACUUUGGUACACAAAAAAUCCACCUGCCCAUUCCUCACUAGCAUUGUACUGAGUCACCCAUAUCUGCUCAGAAUAGAAUAACUCCAGUUAAUGUCAUUAUAUAUACAUGUGUGUAUUUGUAUGGAGUUGAACUUUCGUGCUUUUAAAAGUAUAUAUAGAAACACCAACUGUCCCUGGAGCAAGUGGCAAAAGGCUUGGUGGUUGGUAUCCGAGACCCAAAUUCGAAUCCUAGUUGAUUCACAUUUCUUGCUAAGUUUAUUUCUAAAUGAAAUAAACGAAGCAGGUAGCGUGCUACCUAUCUCUCUAAAAAAAAAGUAUAUAUAGAAACUCAACAUAUUUGCGAUUUUUCAACUUUCGGAUUUUUAACAUAUAAGACACAUCAUUAAUAAUACUGUACGGACCUUGAAAUGAUCCGACGACUAAAAAAUUAUAAACACAAAUACUCAGGUGCUUUUAAAAGCAGAGAAGCAGCUAUAUCUAUAUAUAUGUCUUUACAUAGAACAUAAUAUAUCUAACCAAUUUGGCAUGUAGGUUCUCAGUUUGAGUAUUAUUUAAAAAAAAAUUAUGAAAAAUUAUAUCACAAGCUUAUGAUCGAGCUCAUACGUUUUACGUCCAAAUUUUGUUCUUUUAACUAUUAUUUUAUGUAGCACUAUUAGAGAGAGAGAGAGAAAAUGAGCGCAAAUAUACACACAAUAUAUAUAUGCAUGCAUUUGUAUAUAUAUACAUAUACAUGCACGUACCUGGUUGUUUGUGAACGCAGCUCGCUCCUGCGGUGGAUCAUCCAAGUCGAGCAAGCUCGCAGCGGUCGCGCCGGGGACGAUCUUAUACCCCGUGGGGUUCCCGACGCUCGACGUCCUCUUCGCGUUCACCACAUGAAACUCCGAUGGGUCGUAGAGCUUCAGCUUAAUCCGCGCGUCCUCCUCCGUCUUCGCGACCCGCCUCUCGACCCUCAGGUAGCUCUUGCGGGGGGACUCCCCCGCGCCCGUCUCCUGCUUCACGAUGUGCACGUCGACGAACGAGUUCUCGGGGCCGUCGACGUCCAUGUCCAAGUAGAAGGUGACGUAGUGGUCGUGCACCACACCGAUUAGGUUUUCGGUUAGUAGGGUUCCGUAGAGAUCCUCAUGUUCCGGAACUUGGCUCAUGUUCUUGUAAACUGUUCCCUUCACCAUCAACAUGCCACUGAGACUAACCUAUAUAGAUAUAUAGAAUGUAAUAACAUUAUUAUUAUCAUUAUAUACCAGAUCACAGUUAAUAUAGUAUUAUAAGUAUUAUUUGACGUAUAAAUUGAAGGUAAAAACAUGCCACUGAGACUAACCUAUAUAUAUAUAUAUAAUGUAAUAACAUUAUUAUCAUUACCAGAUCACAGUUAACAUAGUAUUGAGUAUUAUUUGACGUAUAAAUUGAAGGUAAAAACGUAAAGAAGUUACCUAAACUACUAUUCAUGCAUCCUUUCAGUUUAUUUGGUUUAAGCUGGUCAACGACACUUUUUAACUUCAACAUUUGAGUUAAUUAUUUAUUUUAGUAAUUUAUAGUUGCGAGAAUUGCAUGAAGUAAACUAAUUAAAUAUGUAAAAUGAACGAAACAUUCAAAUUUUAAAGUUAGAGUAUCAUUGACCAACUUUUAUCAAAAAAUUAAAAUGUUAGGUAGCACAAUCAAAAUUUUGAAAGGUUGGGUAGUCGAUUCAAAAUAGUCCGUAUAUAAUUUAUAUAACAGUUUUAUAAAUUAUUACGUAUAGUUUACAAACUGAUUGGUCAUUAGUAAAAAUUGAACUCUUAAUAUUAUUACUCUUAUACUCACUAAUUUAAUGCAAGUUAUAUAUAUAGUGUGAAGGAGACCUAGUAAAGUCAAUUAAAAGCGAUAUAUAUAGAAUUAGACUGGCAUACUAUUAAUAGCAUCAAGCUAUUGAUGCUAUUAGGUUUUCGGCCCUUAAUGAAAAAAUAUACUGUUAGGAUGAUGGGUGGGCCCCUAGGAUUGAGUGAGUUGUUGGUUAAAUAGUAUAAUCUAACGGAUGAAAAUAAUCAAAGGAUUAAAUCUAACGGCGGAAAACUUGGUAACACCAAGCGCUUGGUGCUAUCGAUAGUAUUCCAGCCGGACUCUCUCUCUCUCUCUCUCUCUCUCUCUCUCUCUCUCUCUCUAUAUAUAUAUAUAUAUAUAUAUAUAUAUAUAGAAUUAUGCUACUAUACUAUCAAUAGUACCAAGCCCUUGGUACUAUUGAGUUUUCGGCCGUUAGAUAAAAGGAUGUGCAGUUAUGAUGAUAGUGGUCCCCGAUUAAAUUGAUANUAUAUAUAUAUAUAUAUAUAUAUAUAGAAUUAUGCUACUAUACUAUCAAUAGUACCAAGCCCUUGGUACUAUUGAGUUUUCGGCCGUUAGAUAAAAGGAUGUGCAGUUAUGAUGAUAGUGGUCCCCGAUUAAAUUGAUAAUGGUCCCCUAGGGUUGAGUCAGUGGUGGUUUAAUAGUAUAAUCUAACGGGUGGAAAUGAUCAAAGGGUAGAUCUAACGGUAGAAAACUCAAUAGUACCAAGGGCUUGGUACUAUCGAUAGUAUAGUAGCUGGACUCAUAUAUAUAUAUAUAUAUAUACACUUUGGUAAUUUUCACAAAAGUCCUCCAGCACUGCAAAUUUAUUGGUGAGUCCCUCACAACACAUUUGUUUACCACAAAAGCUUUUCCACAACAAACCUCGUGAAAAUCUACGAAUAAAAUAUAAGGCUUUUUCCAAAAUUUCCAUAUCUUCAAAAACACUGAAUCCAUAAAUAGACUUUACUAUGACCUCUGGCACAACCAGACUUUUCAAGUGAUGAAUUCGUUUUGUUGGAUUCUGAUUCCAUUUUANAGCAAUUACAGCUGACCAGCUAGAAAGAGUAGUUUCAAUUGAACCCUCUUUCUGAUCGUUUUGUAACUCAGAAAAUUUCUUCUUGUGCACCCAUGCACACAAUAUAUAUAUAUAUAUAUAUAUAUAUAUAUAUAUAUAUAUAUAUAUAUAUAUAUAUAUAAUUGAGCUCCUAUACUUUUAAAAGUACUAAGUUAUUGUGCUUGUAGAUUUUUUACCAUUGGAUUAAGAGAUGUGCAGUUAGGAUGAUGUGGGGCCCAUAGCGUUGAAUGGGUGGUUGGUUGAAUGAUAUAAUCUAAUGGGUAAAAAUGAUCAAACGGAUAAAUCUAAUUAUAAAAAAUUUACAAGUACCAAGUGUUACAAGCACCAUAGUCGGACUCUAUAGAUAUAUACCUAUAUGUAUAUAUAUAAUUGAAAUUAAGAUUGGUAUGUAAACAAAUUGAGUACGUACCUUGAUUCGAAUAAGCCCAUCCGUUUGAAACUCCCAAUCCACUAUGUAGUCAUAAUUUCCAACAGACGCAGACAUUCGCGCAACCAAAGUUAUCUUUGGACGCACUUCACGUAUCUACAUAUAUAAACCCAUAAUACGUCCAAUAAGAAUUGGGAAAAUAAUAAGAUGAUGAUGAUGAUAAUGAUAAUGAUAAUUAUAAUAACAGAGAAGGAUAGAGAUACAUAAAUAAAAUGGGAGAACAAAUUUUUUUUAUAAAAAAUGAAAAAUUUGUUUUUCAUAAUCGCACGCAUAAUUAUGGUUCACAUAUGAAUUUACUAUUAACUAUUAAUUACUAUGGUAAAAAGAGAGAUCAAUCUCACCUCGAAAGUUAAUUGAUAUUUUGGUAAAUGUUGAUAUAUUUAUAUAUAUAUAUAUAUGCUGAAUAUGUAUAAGCAAAUACAUUAUAUACGAUGUUAUAGAUAUGUUUUGUGUGUAGGAGAUCGACUGCAUACUUUCUGAAGUCAAAAUAUUUUUGAUUGACUCAAAUUAAAUAAAUUAAAAUAUUAAAUAAUAAAAUUAAAAUUUUAAAAAAUUAAAUAAUCAGAUUAAAAUAGUUCAUAAUUUAGAUAACUUUGAAACGUGUUUACGUAGAAUUUUUAAAUUUUUGUUUAAUAAAGGAGGCAGUAGGUGAAGUGUUCCCUCUUUGCUGUAUCCAUCGCACAUGGCAUUAAAAUUCAUGCCAAUUUUCCAACCCGAAAAGGACUUAUCAGAGCAAUAUGACUAGUCGAAUCAUCUUUUCAUUCAUGAUUAUAACUUGUCAUGUGAUUGUCCCAAAUCUAAAAGCCAUUUUUUUCUUUAAAAGAAAAAAGCUAAUUGUACACUCCUUUUGGAGUUUACAUUUUUUAUGUCCCACUGUGGGUGGUCUACACUAGUCAACAAUAUGUUUAAUAAAAAAAAAUUUCAUACUAAGAAUGGAUAAGAUGUACAACGUAUAAUCCUUUUGGGGUAUAUGUGUAGUAUUGCUCAAUUCUCAGUAUGUCAACAAAAAAAAAAAGAUAACUAUAUGGGAGUACGUAUAUGUAAAAGUUGGUGAAAUCCAGUUGAAAAAUAUAAGUAAAUUAUAAGAAAUGAAUCACAAAAGAUCGGUCUGAUAAUUUUUUUUAAAACAAAAUUACGGGCAUAAACAUCAAAAGUUUUAAAGUUCAUAUGCUCAUUUGUAUGUUAGCUAUAGUUAAUCCAGUCCUGUUUUUUUUUUUUUGAAAUUUUUAUAUAUAUUAUUAAUAUAUUGACACAAAUGUUAUGGAAAUUCGUGGCGGUUCAUAUGCACACUUAGAUAGUGCCAUAUGGGUUUUGUAAACUUAAGAGAGAGUUGGAACCAAAAUCUUUUGUUUUUUAAUACCUAAAUUAAAAUGUUUUCGUGAUUGUGGACUUAGUUGUAAAUAGGUAUUUGUGUAGGGCUAUAGUUGUAAAAAAGAAGGAAAUAUCCACAUAGUAAGGGAUCUUUUUGGCGGGAUUCGGGUGGGGAAGGAAUCUUACGUUGAUUCCCGUGGUGGGCCCCUCGGAGUGGCGCCACGCCACGUCACCUUCGUAGCGCUCGAAGACGCACACCAUUCCGGGCCGGACGAACGGCCUCCCGUCCGACCCGGCGAGCACCCCGUCCAUCAGAUACGCGCCACGUGGGCAGUCGUUUAUCGGGUCGAGCGACAUCGCCUGCAGCCCGAACCCGUACUCGCCCGCAUCCAAAUACGCCUUGAAGUACCACCCCUCGGUCGGGUCCAUGUACGGCACGAAUAAUUCCGACGCCAUUCCUUUGUACAUCACCUCUCUCGCCUUACCGGUUUCCGGGUCGUUUAUUCUCGCGCGGGAUAUUAUCAUCCCCGCCCGGGAGUCCGGGCGCACGUGCAGCUCCCACCCGGCCCACCGGAUCACGUGCGCCCCCUCCACCGUGAAGCUCGGGCCCUCCGGUUGUUCGAGCGUUAUUGGGUUCAGCUUGUAUUGCGCCCUCUGUUUUGUUGUUUUCUUUUUCUGGACGUCGUAUCGAUAGUCGGUGUCGUCGUCGGAGGGGAGGGGGAUUGGUUGUUUGUUGUCGAGGAUUUCGAUCACUCGGUUCUUGUCGAGGUCGACUAAGACGGUGAGGCCCUCGACGGGGCGCAUGUAGAAGUUAGCGGUGCCGGCGUGGGAGUAGCACUGGACUUUUGCGAGGCGGGCGGAUUCUUCGGUUUUGCCGAACCAGCCGGCGGGGAGGGGGACGCAGGUGAGGUCGGAGGGGGCGAGGCUGCGCGAGCGGACUGCUUGGAGGAAGGGCGGAUCGGCGAAGGGGGCCGACGUAGCGCGGGACAUGUCGUCGGCGGUGAGGAUCGGGUAGCCGUGGGCGGCGGAGAGGGGGACCGUGUCAUGGUGAAUUACGCGCUUUGAGGAGAUGUCGACAGUGAGGAGGUGGGAUAGGGAGGAGGAAGGGGAGUAGGCGACGACGAGGGCGCGGCGAGGGGGGAGGGGGUUGAUGCCGGGGCGCCAGGAGCGGACUACAGAUUUGGAAGGCUCGGCGAGGGAGAGGGAGUGGAUUGAGGGGAAAGGGUUCGGGGAGGCGAAGGGAGGGUGGGAAAGGAGGACAGACCGGACGGUGGAGAUUUCAUCGACAGUAAGCGGGUCAAGAGGGUGGACAGGCAGCGAACUGCUUAAAGAACGAAACUUUCUAUUAGAAGAAGCAGUGCCGAUAGAUGAGGAGUGAGGAGAGAAAGGCGAGGAGAGGAAAGAGAGGUAGGCGAAGAAGAGGAGGGAGAACAGAAAGAGGAGGAUGAGGAGGCGGCGGCGGGCGACAGCGGUGACAGCAGCGGCCGCAGACGGUUCCAUCAGAGAGCACAGAGGGCGGAGGAGGUGGAUGCAUGAGAAGAAUCCACUAGAGACACCUUAAAUGGCGCAGAGAACGGGCAAUUUGAUUGUACGAAUAAAUAUUAUUUUAAAUGAUUAGGACUAUGCUUACGUUGGCUUGCGGAAUCUGCGCGCACCACAAGAUGCUGCAGUGCUCUCAGGUUCGGUGAGCCAAUUCGGCUCGCCAAAUCAUCACAACAACAACAACAACAAAUAUUUUAAAUGAAAAGCAAAUGCGUACAAGCAGAGCUUACAAAGUUAGGAAUUAAUCUUUUCACGUUAUAUUGUUUUGAUAUAUUCCGCAUGGUCGUUUUCUUCUUAAGUUUCUUUUUAAAAAAAAUAAAAAAAUGCCAACCAAACCCUAUUGUGGAGAUUAAUUGAACUUAAUGAUUUGGAUGGUUUACUGGAUUUGAAUAAGAAAUCUUCGUUUGAACUUUUAUUUGAAUUAUUUUAUGCUCUUAUUAGAUUAUUUAAGAAGAUCAAAUCCGAAUUACUGAAAAAAAAAUAACUGUAAGCAAAUAUUACACGCAUGCAAAAUUCAUAUAAAAUUGAAAUGACGCUUUAUUACGCGAGAACUGACGCAAAAUUUGAGCUGAACUCAGACCCUAAGCAGGUUGAGCCCUCGACCUUAUGAGCUGUUUAGUUUAAAUAUAACUUAAAAAUACAUUAUAGUCAGAGAUGCAUCAUUUUUAUAUACAUCAAGCUUAUUUGACCUACGAAAUAGAGAAUCAGAAUUGUAAACUAAACUCCCUAUAUUCAAAUUAUGUAAGCUAUCUCACUAUUUCAAUUAAUCACCUACCUCUUAUUUCUCCUAUUUUCUAGACCAGUUUGGAGAUUCUCCGAGUUAUGUGGCUAUGACCAUGAUUCCACAAACGCAACACAUUACUUUAUUUGUCCACAUCUUUCCAUUGCAUCAAGUGGAACUAUAGUUUAUUUCAUGGUUUUCCUCGACUAAGAUCCCCCAACAAACUAAUUAGACUAUCUGCAUCCCUACACAGCAGUUCAUUUACAAGCCAACCACUAGCUCUUAGGUUCAUACACCAAGCAAUGGGUAAAAAGUACAUACACAUAUUUAUAAUUUUUAAAAUGAUUCCACAAAUCAUCACCAAAAUAGUAUAUUCACAAGGCAGCACAUAGCAAUACAUGUCAAAGAAAGAGAGCACCUGAAUCUCCUACCAAGAACCUCUCAAUAACAUUAAAUUUAAAUCCAUCUGAUCCACCUCUCAACACAUUGGAGGGAAUCCUCGAAGACUCCCAAGAGUUAAAACCCAACUAAUUAUUUGUACUGCACCAAUUUGUUUUGAUUCUUCGGUGAGAUUACUUGUUUAUUUCACUAUCAAAUCACAUCAAAUGAGAUGGAAACAAGGUAUAGAUGCCACCAAAUAAACUUAAAAAUGUCAUCAUCUAAUACUCUUAGUAAACACCGAUAAAAUGUCAUCACCUAACACUCUUAGUUCAACCGAAGAAGGCUCUAGAUAAAACAAUCCAUAUUUUAUACAAAAACAGGCUUAGUCAAGGCUUAGUCUUUUACGCUCAACAGCUCUAAGGUAGCUUUCUCUAAAAGUCCAUCUAGACCUGGUACUCUUUAUUCCUAUAACAAUUUCUUGAAUAAAAUUACGAAUUAAGUCCCUAAAUUUAACCUUGACCUCAAUUUUGUCAUCAUAUUCUAAAUGUAAUAAUUGUCCCAUAAGUCCAUUAUGCAUUACUAAUUAGUCCUAUUAGUUUACCAUCAAAGGGGCCACAUAAGUGCCAUCUAGCCUUUGUCUAGUUGCAAGUUGGAAACUCUAAAAACAAAACCAAUACAAAGAUCAUCUAAAUUGUUAAACUAGACACUCCAAGAAUGAAAUUUAAUUUAAUUCAAACUCCAAUGAAUAUGCAGGUACGAACUGAAACUCUCUGAAUGAGACUGAAAUAAGGAUCAAUCUUCAGGGUCCGCUCGUUAUUAACUUUAUAUUCUUUUGUGCAAUUUACCCAAAGUAGGAUGUAAGUAAAAAGCUCAUGACUUUACUAGUAAGCCCACUUAUUUUAGGUGACAUACGAAUCUUUAAACUAGGUUAUUCACAACCAAAUUUGUUUAGGCCUUCUGGGAUAAAUAUAUAUUAUAUUCAGUAUAUCUGUUAGCUUACGCAAGGGAGAUGUGGUAAUGGAUUUGUAUGCAUUAUAUAUGCCUGCAACCAUAUAGUAUAUACAACAUCUAAGUUAUUUUUCUCAGAGUAUAACAUAUUAUAUCGUAAAUUAAAAGCACUAACCUAAAAAUUAGAUAAUAAAAUGCAAUGGCCUCACAAGAAACUAAAAUAAAGCCUACAGGUUGUAACUCCAUAAGAAAAUCUCUCUACCAUAGUUACAACUAGAUAACUCGUUCUGAUACUCAGACAAGCCCUCAAGGAUAAGUCACUGGGCAUGUAUGCAUAAUCACAUGCCUGGUUGAGCUUAACUAUUUGGUGGUUUCAUGACCAUCAAAGAUUUAGGUCACCUAUCUACCCAAGUGUGCAUCUUGGACCAUCCAAGAUUCCCUUUACUGCUGUGUUGGUCACCAAAAUACCCAAGGGUGCACCUUGUACAGCAACUAGGUCUCAAAUAACUAACUGAAGAGCUAUUUGGUUGGGGGAUAUUUCAAGUGUAAGGAGGAUAUCAACUAAUUAUAUUUAAUUAUUUUAUUCAAGUAUAACAAAGUAAGAUGUUAUGUCACACUAUAUUAUAUUAACAUACGGUAUCAUAUAUUACAUUAUGAAUAACAUCACCUAUAGGUGACCUCACAGCAACCUGUGCUUGCUUCUUGCAAAGAAGCAUCACUAAUCAAUAAUAUUAUUCGAUAAUAUUGCAUAAUGAUUUAUGUCAAAAUUUUGGGAUCAGGGGAAUUAUACCUAAUCUCUUGGGUUUCCAUUCUUGUCAAAUUUGGUUAAGAUUAAAUAAAAGGGGAAACUUGAUAUAAUAUUUAGUAAUGUUAUGUACUAUUCCAUGCAAAACAUCUAUCCAGAAUGUAGAAUAUGCUCCAGGAGCAACGAUUACAAUCUAAAUGUAAAUAUUAUGACCAACAAACAAAUGUUUAGAAAAAUCAAGACCAAACAAUAUUAUGUCACCAGCUCAAAACCUGUUUGACACAAAUAUGAGAUAUAUAUGCUAAAUAAGUAGGUCAAAAUGCAAACAACCUCGCUACAAGCAUCACAACUUGUUCUUCAUUCCCCUCAAUAAUAAAUGUAAAAGAAAUCUCUCAAUCCUUAUGCUAUUGUCUUUUCUUGUCCACUUGUAACUCUAUCGUUUAUAAAAUCUUAGAAAAGCAUAAAAUUUGAUUCCAAAUACUAACUAUGCGUGUUGUAUGAUGAAAAAGUGAUAUUGACGCAUCCCUUCUUGUCUCUCGAUUAGCUUAUAGUAAGAAAGAAUAUCUAGAUACAACUUUCCUACCAUCCAAGACAGAUAAUUGAUAUUUACAGAUACAUCUUUGGAUUUUCUAAUGAUUUAUGAAUGAUAGAAUCACAGAAGAGUAUUAAAUGAUUAAACCACAGUGAUUAAGAAGGGGGAAGUACAAAGUGCAACAUACCAAUUGGGGCUGUCUGCUUUUUAGCUAAAGUAGCGAAAAUCAAGACGGAAUUUAAUUGUACAAUAUAUAAAGUGAGGUCGCGGUUCUAGUUUUUUAAAUUUUAUUUGACCAUAACCGUAUACAUAAGCAAACAAAUAACAAUUUUUAGUUUACUUUCAAACAGUUAACAAGUUUUUGUUUAGUUUACUUUCAAACAAUUAACAAGUUUUAGUUUACUACCAUAUUGGAUCAUCAGUUCAUCACCAUGAGCUCAAAAACUAUGCUAUGAAUGCAAUAGAUACAAACGCGUAGUAGGCAACGAAAUUCACAACAGCUUGUACAUCUAAGAAAAGCAGAGCUUGUUUCUAGUGUUUUACUUUGGGCAAGGAAUUCUAAUUUAAGAAAAUCAUCAUAAGUUAUCCAUUUAACAGGGAUCUUAGAUGCACAACAAACACUACCUAAUCAGUAUUUUCUUAGUUAACUUUAACAUCAUGUUAGAUUCUCUAUCCACAAAACACAAUUUUCGAAGUUGUAUAUGGCAUCUCUUGGUUCAGAAAAUUAUCCAUUCAUCCAAACAUCAAAAGUAAAUUCUCCAGAUUUUUGUGGAAUAAAAGCUUCAAACUAACAAAAGGCAUUUUCGAAUUAGAUAACUUGUUCAAACCUCUAACAUAUUUUCCUUUUGAAAGUUAAAUUACAUUCUUGACCAGUAGCAAGACCUUUUCAUGGAAAUUUAAGAUUGAUGCAACUCUCUACAGGGUGGAAUGAUGCAUGCUAGGGAAAGGUAAAAACCAAAUUUCAAUUUCUAGAGAGAGAAACACUCUCUUUCCAUAGCAGAACACACCUCAACUACAUCAGUAGUCAACAAAGAUACAUGCCCCACGAAGCAUCACACUGGGGGAAUCAAAGAGGAAAUUUGAGAAUGUAGUUAAUAUUAGAAUGUAGUUAAUAUUUACUCACUGAUGAUCACCAUUUGUGUCAUGUUCGACCUCCUCAGCAUCUUCGAACCUUUGAUCAUUGAUUUGAAGCUGCAUGAAACACAAAAUAACGGACGACAAAUUAGCUGGAAAGAAAUAAUUGGUUGAUGGGAUCAGACAUGCUUUAAUUAAGUGUGCAGUAAUGAGUUUUUCAAGAUGAGCUAAAAAAAACUAUUAAAAAUUUGGAAGUUAGUAGAAGGAUUAGAUUGUAUGACUUAUGAACUUGCAAUUUUCAUUAAGUACUCAAGCAGCCACGAGCUGCUCAUAUUAGUUAAUGCAUGAAGUUAAGAGAGUUGGCCAAUUUUGAAGUUUUAAGGAGCUAAAUGCACAAGCAUGGAAGUUCAAGGAUCAGCAUACAUUUUAACUUGGCCAAAAGGAAAAAAGCAAGGUGGAAAAGAAAUUAGGAGGGAAUAUAUAGAAAAUUUUGAGCGCAGUAAUACAGUAAAUAUAAGCUUCAGCUGCAAAAACCAAACAAAUAAGAACUACAGAAUACUGUAUUAGCUUAAUUGUUCUUCUUACAGUAGACAGAUUCUUCAAUGAUGUUAACACUAUAUACCACCAAAAAGACAAUCUUAUCAUUAAUUUUGAGAACGUUGGAAGACGAUAUGGAUUUCAUAUCAUGUAUAAUCUUAAAACCAAAUCUAUCCACAAAAUUGGGGGGAAAAAAGAGAAGAUUUGCAUACCCAACCAAUAGGAACUUGCAAGAGUAAAGCAAUAAUAGAAAUCCAAUUCGACCAAGGUAAAACUACACUAACAACACUUGAGCUAGCAAAAUUUAUUAAAAAAAUUGAACAUUAGAUACUGAUACAGAUUUCAACAUAAAUGGCAAUGCCAGAUAGAAUAUAUAAAAAAACUAAAAACAAUAUUGCAGAUGAUACUUCUAGCACAACAUGUGGCAUGCAACUGAAAUGCAUACCUCAAGUACUGAAUGAGCCAGGUCGUGAGCACCAUUUGCGUAGCCAAUAGGGUUGGCAAGACUCUCAUAUGUUUGCCACUCAGGAUAACUUCCUGGUGGUAGAAAAGGAAGAAAUCAGACAAUCAUGCCCACAUACACACACAAACAAUUUUUUUUUUAAAAAGAAAACACUAGUGAAUGUUUUUUAUAACACACACACACGCACAAAAAAAAAGAGACAUUACCAUCACCUAUCUCUUCAUUGCCAAAAACCCAACUAUUUUCUUCCCCGCUCACUGGAAAAAUCACAUUUUGCAAUGCCUCAAAUAUUGAUACUAUUAACAGACAAUACAUAAAAAACAUGAUAAUGUAAAAACUAUACCAGAAUUAGGAUCGGGAUUCAGUUCAGCACAUUGACAGAAGAUGUCAAAAAGAGCAUCCACUUUGAACCAUAGUAAGGAAUGAAAAAUAAAAAUAACAAGAAUAUAAACUGGAUAAUGCCAUUUGUUAUACAAAGAAGAUUCAUUCAUAGAUGUGAAUUUAAAAGGUUUGACAAAAUACACCAGAAAUCUAGGAGAUAGUCUGGGUCACGAGGUCUUUAUCAUUCACAGAAUUAUCAUUACAUACAGCUAGAAGUACAACAACUUAAAGAAGUAUGUCUAGUAAUGACAUGUGAAAGCACUAGAACCUCCAAUUCAAUCAGACAAAAAUUGUAGCACUUAGGCCACUCCACAUGUUUCAAUUGCAAUUCAAUCUCGGUUUCAAGAAAACAAAAUCCCUAAAAAAACAACAAUUUACAAACUACACAAAGUCAUAUGGAGGACUAACUACCAGACAGGCAGACACAAAAUUAGCAUUUCAUCUGAGUGAUAGCAGAAAAGGGAUCACACCCUAAUGAAGGCUUAAUCAACAAACUUGAAAAUAUUUCAAAAUAAGUCCAACAGACAAAAGAAUGGUUAACACAAAAGAUUACAGGUUUACAGUAAAUGGAACUUAAGAUUAUAUAAAAAAUUAUUAUAGGCAUCAGUAGAAAGGAUACGUUGAUUGGAAUCUGACAGCAUCAGCCGCAUUUCCGUUAUCCUUGAUAGAUCCGUAUCUUGACCAAAUUCAGAAUCUGAGCCCUCAACAUCAUUCCCAUCGUUUCCAGUCUCAAUCUUUAAUUUUUUUUAAAAAAGAUUAUUAUGUAAGCAUCAGCAAAGAAAUUGAUAUCAGUACCGGUAAGAACUGUCCAGUUAGUUUAUGUGAUUACUCCUCUGAUCUCCAAAAUUAUUAAGAUAUUAUCAAAAAGAAUGAUGUUAUUAAGAUAUUCAGCAAUUCUAAAGUUAUUAUAAAAAAGAAAAGUUUGAAUACCAAAAAACAAAAGAAAGAUUCCAAAGUACAUCUAUGAGUCUUGUAGAGAGUUAUUCUUCGGACCCCAAACUAAAAAUGCUAUUGAAAUAAAAGGAUAGUGGAAAGUUUAGGAGCUCAAACUAGGAAAAAUAUAUGUGAAGAGGGAAAGAUUGUACCAUAACAACUGGUAGCACCAGCUUCAGAGGUAAAAACAUACACAAUUACGUCUGUGUUUGUGUAAAUAAACACAAGUUUCUACGUAUGUAUAUGUACUUGCAACAGCUGUACGCAUUUGCAUGUAUUAAAAGACUUUUCAGUGCACGCUUUACUCCAUGUAUCACAUAGAGCUGCUAUUUGAUAUGACCAAGGCAACCAACUUUGUUAUGCUAUUCAAAGUUUUAACUAGUCUGCAUCAUCUCCUGUAAAGAAGAAAUGGUAACAACCAACUAGAAAUGUACCAUAAAAUUGUUCCCCAAUGUAUGAUCAUAGAAUCACAUACCUUUAUACAUUUGAAAUAAUGAUGACAAAUAAUAUCAUUCCAUGUUUCUAUAAAAUGCAGGAUGCAUGUUGAAUAAGAUGAGACCAAAGUUCAUUAAUACACCAUUAUUCCAUAUUUCAUUCAACUCAACAAAAAUAUUUUUCUGCUCUUAUUGAGCAAAAAAACCGAGUGAUGAGAAACCAAUUGAAAAGCAGAUGCAAUUGCCCUAAAAGGCUUCCUAAUAGUUUCCUAUUUUUUCGAAAAGGAACCAUAAAUUUUGUUCUAAAACUAAGACAAGCCAUUAAAGAAAACUGAGUCUACCCGAGAGAAUAUAAAAUAAGAUUAACCGACAUAAAAAAAAAAUAAAGCUGCUGAUUCGCAUCAUUUUCUUGUUGACGGCUAACGGCUUGUAAAGAUGUUGGAGGCAAGCUAGUUAGUUGGCAACUUGUGCAAUAUAGAAACUUCCAUAUCUGAUUACAUCCUGUAUUUUGAUUUUUCUUUUUUCUUCUUCUUUUUUUUUUUUUUACUAUUUUUUCUCUUCCUUUUCUUCCUCCUGUUAGAAAUUAACCGGCACAUCAGAAAAAAAAACNCAUGGUAAUUCAAUUUGGGCUUUUCAUGACAAUUAUUUCUACUCUACGUAGUGGAUUAUCACAUUAGAAGAAAAUUGGUUUAAAUCCUGCAUAUGUUUAUGCAAUUGCAGACAUCUUUUCACACUCCCCAUCAACCAAUUACCGAAAACCUCUUGGGCAAACACAAGAAUCAAUGCUGAAUCAUAUAAUUCAUGAAACUCAAACAGGCUCUAAAGCACACCAUUCAAACAAGGAAUUAUGAAAACUAACCCUCCAAAACCCUAACCCUAACUUCAAACACGAAAAAGAAGGUGAUUUACCUGAGCAAAUAUACAGGGCACGGGAUAGGCCUCCGGAUCCCUCGAAACCGCGUGGAGCGAAAUCGAUAAGAAAUCCACCGCGUACCCCUUCUCCUUAUCCACAUCACUCAACCAAAUCACCCUCCUUUAACAUCGCAACACCCACAAAACAGGAUCAGAACCACGAAAUAGCCAUCAAAACCACAAAAUUGACCAAGAAAAGGGGGAAAGGUAGGAUCUUUGGAGGCGGGAAGAGGGCCACAUACUUGGUGGUGACGAAUAAGGUUCCAGGCGACUCCAUGGGGCGGCGGCCGAGGGCGACGGCGACGCCGCGCUCUACGCGCAUCACCUCCUCGCCGGAGUCGGCGUCGAGCCGGGGCCCGUCGCCGACUCUGUCGUCGAAGGGGCGUAACCCUACUACCAUCUCUCUCUCCCUCUCUCUCUCUCUCUCUCUCUCUUCGUCUCCUUCGCUAUUAUAAGCGGAGUGGAGCACGGGUUAGGGUUUUGGGUUUUGUAGGGGGUGAUUUGUUUGUAUAAGCAAGGGAAGUGGCGCGCCAAAUGUUCGGGGGUGGUUUGCUUCGUGAUUCGUGAACACGGAGACGUUGUCGGUGAUAAUGGGCCGGACCGGGCCCGGCCCAAUUAAGACCUAAACCGGCCUUAUUUUGAAUGGCCCGGUCUAGUCCCGUGAAAUGUACAUUGGUUGAAUAUUUUGGUUUUAUUUUCCUCAGUGAUAAUAUAUAUGUCUCGCUAAUUAAUCACACUAUUUCAAUUAGGAAAUAAGUUUUAUGGUUCCAUUGAAAAGCAAAAAAAUUAUAUUUUCACCCUAAAAAACAUAAGAAAUGUUGGAAAAAUGAAAUUCCAAAUUAAUGUAGAGUGUUAGUUAUGAAGUUCUAACAUAAUAAUAGCAUUUAUAACAUAGGAUGUGAUCCUCUAUAUAUUUUCUUCAAAUUUUUUUCUAAAAAAAUUCUCUAAAUGUUGGACAAGUGACAAAUCAAUGAAUCAUAGGCUGGCCCAUGGUUGAUGUGCUAAACCAAGUUCAAGCAAUAAUUAAUCAAGUUUAUGAGAGCAUGUGAUUGGACCUGUAGAGUUUUUUUAUUAUUAUUUUGGCUUGUUCCAAAAAUCCAACUCUUUUUAUAGGCUCCGUAGAUAACUUUUUCAUAAACCCGUGACAACCUUUUAUAGAAACAGUUACCUCCGUAUUGUCACAAUGGAUUUUUUCUAUUUUAUUGUCUCUUCAUUUUGACACUAUACUCUUGUUAUUAUUCAUUGCCUCUUUCAUUGGUAAGAGUACUCAAAGAGCCCCAAAAGAUAUAUAAUUGUGCUUAAUGUUGUUAGGAACAUUCAUAGUUUAUAUUCCAUCUUAUGAUAUUUUGGAUUAUAUAGUAUUAAAGUCAAUCAUAAACCCACUUUGUUCUUAAAGGUCCUAAGUUUAAUUUUCGUGUUCGUCAAAUAAUAUGUAACGUAGAUUUUUAUAUGUUAAUUUACUGUAUUCUAUUAAGCACAUAUCUUGUCCACUUAAUAUCCCUCUCAUACACGAGUGGUAGAGUUGAAACUAUUCAGAUGUCGUUUCCUAUCAGAUCAAUCCUUUGAAUAAUAAAUAAAAGAUAAAUUAAAUUUUGACUAUUAAAUUUGAGUAAUUAAUUUGGAGCACUUCUUGCAUACACUACUAGGGAUAUUCCAGGAAGUUUACAAUGUAAAGAAGCAGUGUCACAAAGUGAUUGGAUGAGAGAGAGAGAGAGAGAGAGAGAGAGAGAGAGAGAGAGAGAGAGAGAGAGAGAGAGAUGCUUCCUCACAAACUUCAUAUCCAAUAGGAAAGGCACCAAAGAAGGAUGAGGUGAUGGAUUAGAAGAUAAAGGUUUUGCUUUAAUUUUCCUUUUAAGAUUGGCUAUGCACUUUUUUUUUCCCCCAAAAAAAGUAACUGUUUGCAACUUUGCAUUUGAGAAUCCAAUUCUAUGUUAUUGCCUUUCUUAGAGAGAGAGAUCAUGAGUAUAUGUAGGUAUAACUAUAAGUCUACUAUAUUUCUAGUAAUAUUUGUAUAUUAUUAUAUUUUCUCAUUUUCAAUAUUAGUAUAUCUGUUAUCUGUAUCGACGAUUCACUAUAUUAAACAUAGUUUAUAUUGUUCGAAGAGGGAGGGGUUCUUUACUCUUUUUUCUCCUUUUCCUUUUUCUUUUUUCUUUUUCUUGAUGGUUUGAUUAAGUUGAUGUGAUUUAGGUGCUAGUUAAAUUGACCAUAUCACUUUCACUUCCCCUAUCGUUUAUACAGAUUGAAUACAUAUCGGUCGUGGCACCCUACUCAUUUGCUUUUUUCAUAAUGUUUCUCUCGUUUUAGUCCUUUUCCUCUCGUUAUUCUUCUUAAUUUUUUUCUACACAGAUCAUUUUCUCUUUUACUUUUGAUUAAAAAAAAUUAAAAGUUGAAUUAAAUCAGUAAAUCACCGAUUACGACGCACACAUUUCACCUAGCUAAGUACUAUUUUGGACACAUGAUGUUGUCCAAAAUCGUGCUCAAUAGAUUUGUAUUUGUUCAUCCUAGCUAGCUAGUGUUUCACCCCAGUUUUCAUGUUUUUUUGUCACUCCUACCUAGUUAUCUAUUGCAGUAUCAGAUUUGUGAUUAUAAAUAAAAGGUUAAUUAAUUAAGUUUGCUUUUCUCAUCCUAUGUUAUUUAAGUGUAACUACUUUGAAAAUUGUGCAUUAUCUUAUAUACUUAGUCAAUGUAUAGUGCACAAGCUUCAAGUUUUCCUUACACACACACACCUUAGGUUGUGAAGCACUAGGGACCAAAUACUUUUUAAUUAUCAUGUCUUCUUGAAAAUCACUCUAUUAUUUUUUUUUCCAAAAAAUACAAACAUUAUCAUUGAUCUCAGAAUGCUUAUUAAAUUGAUCUUUCAAACUAAUAAUAUAGCAUCAGAAACAAUUUUAAACUUCUUUCAAUUUCGGGUUUAAUUUUCAUAUUCGUCGUCCACAUACGCGGCAUAAUUUAUAUGAUAUGAUAUCCAUCGUGCACGUGAGUGGAGUGUUAAAGCUGAUCUCAGAUUAUUUUUGCCAAACUGACUUUUCACGUUAUAAUUAGAAAUUUUAAUUUUUUUUCCUUUUCAAUCUCUAAUUGCAGUUAUUAAUCUUCUAAAAAAUCACAAGUGAACUAUGGAUAAGCUGGUGACUAUAAAAUAUAGGCAGCAAUAUAAACAGACCAAAAAAUAUUACUAAGAGAGGUCAUGUAUAUAUAUUAAAUUAGAUUAUAUAUAUUUAUCACAUGAAUAUGAACAAAGGUCUAUUAAACUUUCUUUGCUAAUAUCUAAUAACUUUACAGUGUUAAUUCCACUAUCCACCCAUGAUUUUCAUUUUUCUCCUUUUUUUACUUUUAUUUUUAGUGGGUUUUGAUAAUGAUAGAUUCUAGUUGUUGUCUUGUUGUGUACUAAAAAAUGCCAAAGGAGAGAGAGCCUAUCAUCAUUCUAAAAGAGGUAAAAUUGUGCACACUUUCCAUUCUUUUGGGACCAUUUAAUUGUUGUCCCCCACAAUCUCCUUUUUCCACUUGUUGGCCUCCAUGCAUGGCUAUAGCUUGUUCCUUUUCUCUUGAUCCCUUCUCACAAAAUUGAUUUAUUUAUAAAAAAGGUGAUCUUUGGAGGAGAUCUUGUCUUAAUCUCUCAUAUAUUAAUCUUCCCAUUCUCUUCUCAAUAAUCAUCCUAUAAACUACAAAGCCCUCUCUCUCUCUCUCUCUCUCUCUAGAUUAAAGGAAAAACUUCAAACAUCAUUCCUGUAGUUUCAUACUUUCUCACUUUACUAUCAUGUGGUUUGAAGUGUAUCAAUUUGGUACCAUACAGUUUUGGUUUUUUCUUUUUAUUAUUAAUUCCACUAAUUUUUUUUCGUUAAAUCAGUGAUACCGUUAAAACUAAAAAAUACUAAAGUGAAUAUUCGAUAAACCUAGAUAGUAUAUCUGAAGUUUUUUGCAUAUAAUUUAACAAAAUAUUAACGAAUAAGCUGACGAAAAGAUAAAAAUGAAACCAUAGAGUACUAACUUGAUACACUUUAAAUCAUAGAAUGCUGAAGUGAGAAAGUGCAAAACUGCAUAGGUGGUAUUUAAAGUUUACACUAGAUUAAAACUAGAAUACUUAAGGGGAGUUAUUUAAUUUCACUUUGUUUCUCACAAUAAAACAUUCAAAUUGACAAUCGGGUUUAUUAAAUAUGAUCUAAGCUAUUUAGACUCUCUAAAAAUUUAAAUUGUUAGAUAAAAACAUCUUGUCUUGUAUAUUAUAUCUGGAUAAAAAAUUAUGUUUUGUAUCCGAAAUGAAGCUAUUAUAUUCGUAAACAUGAUUUGAUACACCAGGUUUACUCAACAAUUUCUUCUCUCUCUCUCUCUUCAGUAGAUUCUCCCUUGCAAUCAUUCCAAGGAAAGAGAAAGAGAGAGAGAGAGGGAAAAGAGAGAGAGAAUCAGGUUCCCAUGCAAAUACAACAUUUUGUCAAUGGAAUAAAUUAAUAAAUGUAGAAUAUAAGAGGUGUGGGCAAAAGAGAUUCCAACACCUUUAUUACUUUUUAGACAACAGGUGACUGGCACGUGCAUGCCUUCUGGAGGGCCUAUAACCCAACUAACAAGUCAACUAAUAAGUUUGCUAAACAGUCUACAAUGGAUGUCGAAAUCAUUGUUAAAUGGAACCCUCCACCUCCUGGAUGUUUCAAAAUAAAUUUUGAUGGUGCUUUUAACAUGCAAAUCUCAAAGGGAGGUGGGGGUUUUAUUAUUCGUACUGACACGGAAAAUUUAUUCUGUGUAGGGACAGUCCAAUUCAUGGCUACAUUGGCUUUGCAUGCAGAGGCCAUCGCUCUGCUCGAGGCGUUGAAGGAGGCAAUCAAGCGUGGAAUCUCUAAAGCUAUAGUUGAAAUAGACUCUCAAAACUUGUUCUCUUAUGUUAGUUCACAUAUUGAAUCUCUUUGGCGACUCCAAAAUAUUAUUGACCGAUGCACAUCUCUGGCGAAGCAUUUGCAGCAGUGUAUUUUUGUUAAAAUAUAUCGUGAAGCCAAUAGGGCCGCUGAUUAUUUAGCAAGUCAUGCGCUUAAUUCAAGAAGUAAACUGGUUUUUAAUCCUACCAGUGACCUUCCCAUAGACUUUGUUAGGAUACUUUUUGAAGACUAUGCAGGUAGAGUCUUUUUGCGCAAAGUGUAAUCGAUUUUUGCUUUUAAUAAAUUAGCUUGCUGGCUCUUUCGACCAAAAAAAAAAAAAAAAAAAAAAAAAAAAAGGUGACUGGCACGUGCCUCUGCACGUGACAUAAAGUAAUGGACUUGGAACUUUACAAAAUUAUCUCAUGUACUUCUUUAGAUCUAGCUUCAUGUAAAAGGGAAAAAAAAAAAAUCAUCCAUCCAUAGUUUGGUGUGAUUUGGUGUUGAGAUAAAUAAAUCAUUCAUAUAUUUGAGUUCUUGUGUUUUAUUUAAGAUUGAGGAACCUGUAAUAUGUUUAAAAUUAAAUUUUUUAGAAAAUAUAUACUGGUUAAAUUUUAUUAUGAUACAUAGAAAAUUUUUAACUAACCACGAGAUAGAAUUCAGUAUUACACAAUGUUUAAAAUUAUUAAAUUAUUGUGAAUUAUUUGAGGUUAAUUAUGAGACGUGAGGUAAGUUGAAAAAUAAAUUGUGAAAAAAUUAUACCACCGAAGUUGUAUUAUGAUUCUUUUCUUAAAAAUUUAUGAUAAUUGACAGGAUGAUUUUUUUUAUAUAAUUUUGUAUGAUUUAAAACUUUCUGGUUGAUCAUGUGGAUGGUAGCAUGAAAUGUUCUAUGCACUUAAUUUUUAUGAGCACAUCCUUAAAUUUUCUCUUUUUUUUCGGUUCUUUUACAUCAUUUUAACCAAAAUAUUAUUAUUAUUUUUUUAAAUGUCACCAUAUUUAUUUCUGGUCUAUAGAUGAUGUGGUAGACUAAGUCGAGGACCUGAUGAUCAAGGUGGUAGACCAUGGUCCAUGCAUGUGCAGUAAUAUUUUUUAGGACCUUAUUGAAGGGGUUCUCUGUUGCAUCUAGAGAUGUCAACAGGUCGGAUUCGGGGCGGAUUUUUAAAAAUCCGAACCGGAAUCCAACUCCAAACCCGAGACCCAAAUCCGAACCAGAACCCGAACCCAAACCCGAAUCCGACGGAUUUUAAAAAUCCAUAUAAUCCGAACCCGACGAAGAAUCCGAAUCCCGAACCCGAACCCAAACCCGAAAAUUUGAAUCCGAAACAAUUAUUUCUUUUUUCAAUAUUUCAAAAUAUAUUAUAUUAAAUCUAAAUUUUUAAAAUACAAAUUCAAAUAUAACAUCAAAUAUAUAUAUAUAUAUAUAUAUAAUAUAUAUAUAUAUAUAUAUUAUAUAAUACAAAAUAAAUUCAGGUUCGGGUCGGGUACAAUCAAAAUCCAUAUUCAAAUCCAUAUCUGUCCGAUUUUUAUUUUUGAUAUCUAUAUCCGAAUCCAGAUCCAUAUCCAUCAAAUACAUCCGUUUUAUCCGGGUUCGAAUUCGGAUAAAAUUUAGAGUAUCCAUAUUCAUUGACAUUCCUAGUUGCAUCUGCACAUGCGGUUUGUGGACCAGGUGGUACACCAAAUUCUGAGCACAAACUGUAUCUCUAAUUUUGGCGCAUUUUCGCUAACAUUAUUACAUAAAGAGCUAAAUUUCUCGUCACAUAUUCCUAGAUAGUCAUAGUAAUAAUAUUAUUAAAAUAAUUAUAUUAAAAAUAAAUUUUUUGUGAGCAAAAUCAGAAGCACGGAGCCUCUGUUUGGGAUUACGGAACAAUUACUUUAUAUAUGAUAUUUCGUUAUAAUAUAUUUUUUAGGGUAUUACUGAAAAUAAAAAAAAUAUAUAUAUUUUAUGCUUUAUAAUUUUUUGAGAUCUAAAACAAAGCAAAGAAUCAGAAGGGCCACUAAUUAAUCAACCUGAUCAUCAGCCCCAUCACGAAUCUCAAUGCACUGCGUACACUCUCACUCUGACUUACUCUGAACCUCCCCUCUAUUUUUCGAAACAACCCCCCUCGUUCCCUUUUUUUACUCUCGCUCCUCUCCCUCUUCUUCCCCCACAACACCAUAUAGAGAGAGAGAGAGAGAGAGAGAGAGAGAGAGAGAGAGACUCACUUGCUCAUCGACAUUGGCGACAUGGGUUCUCUCCCUUUCGUGCUCUCCCUCGUCGUCGUCCUCCACCUGUGCUCGGCGGAGGGGAGCUCCGAGGUGGGCGCGCUCAUGGCGCUGAAGCGGGCGCUGGACCCGCAGGGGCGAGCGCUCGCUUCGUGGGCGCCCAUGGCGGACCCGUGCGGUGGGGGCUUCGAGGGGGUGGCGUGCGACGCGCGCGGAAGGGUCGCGAACAUCUCCCUGCAGGGGCGCGGCCUCGCCGGGUCCAUCUCCCCCGCGGUGGCGCAGCUCCGGGGCCUCUCGGGGCUCUACUUGCACUACAACGAGCUCAGGGGGGAGAUACCCAGGGAGAUUGGGACCUUAGCGGAGCUCACGGAUCUCUACCUCAACGUUAAUAACCUCUCCGGGGGGAUCCCCGUGGAGUUUGGGAACUUGGGGAGUCUCCAAGGUGAGUUUUUUAAUCUCUUUUUUCCGAAACAGGGGAGUUGUUGUUAUGCAUGGUUUUGGUGCUUUUUGUUCUAUUUUGAGGUCAAAAGGUUGGUUUUUUGCACAAAGUUUUUGUAAGAUUUUUGUAUUCAGAUGCGGGGUUUUGGUUAUCGGAGUAGUUUUUGGGGCCAAUGAUGUAGUUGGAAACAGAGGAGUUGUUUAUGUAUGCGUAUGCGUUGCAUGGUUUUGUUCUCUUUGUUAUUUCUUUUUGAUGUCAAAAUGUGGUUGUUUGAGCACAUUUAUUAUACCGGUUUGUUACAUUUUCCCUUUUUUUUACUAUUUAAGUUGCAAGUUUGAGUAGAUUAUGAGGUAAUAUAUUGUUGGAACAGGGUAGGUGUUUAUAUAUGCUUUGCAUGCGUUUGCUUUCUUUAUUUUUGGUUUCGAAAUGUAGUGUUUUUAGCUUAGUUUUUAGCUGAGUUUGCUUACUAUUUAUUAUAGAAACUGAUUUUGUUGUAGUGAUUUUUGUGAUUGUUUAUUAUGGAAAUUGUUUUUGCUUAGUUUUUAUUGUUGGAACAGAGUAGUGAUUUUUGUGAGAAAAAUACUAGCUACUAACCAAAAAAAGUUCCAUUUUUUUUUCCUUCCAUUUGAACUCAAAAUGUAAUUUUUGGCAAAUUUCUUACUAUGAUCAUGCAAACUUUUGAGCAUAGAGCAAGUUCAUGAUGUAAAAUGAUAGUUCCUUAUUAGAAGAAGCAGUUUAUCAUCAUGUAAUAUGAUAUACAUUGUUAGAAGCAUUAACUGCUUGUUCUCACCUGGGUUUUUCUUGGUAUUUAAAGUGCAUUAAACUCUCAAAAAUCACAAAAUUUCUAUCUUUUAACUUCUUGUUGAUUAUUGUUUCCUUUUAUUCCUUAUUUACUGCCUCAUAUUAAUAUCUCUCUUUCUCUCUCCCCCAUUACUUUUCUGCAGUUCUGCAACUCUGCUACAACCAGCUAACAGGGAGCAUACCAACCCAGCUUGGGCUUUUGAAGAAGCUCAAUGUGCUCGCUUUGCAAUCCAAUCGCCUAAACGGCGCGAUUCCGGCUACCUUGGGAGACCUCUCGCAGCUAAUAAGAUUGGAUUUAAGCUUCAAUCACCUCUUCGGGUCGAUCCCGACUAAAUUAGCUCAACUCCCUGAGCUUGUAUACUUAGAUCUUCGCAACAACUCGCUUUCCGGCAAUGUCCCUUCCGGUACAUACAUAGCUUUCAAUCUCAUAUAUGUAAAGUUUGAGUUGAAAUCUUAAAAAGCCCACUAACUUUUUUUUUACUUAAAUUUGAUUCUAAAUCAAAUUUGGCUCUUAACUCCAUUUAUGUGCUACGCUUUUUUUAUUUUAUGCUGAAUGAAGAUUUGAAGAGAUUGCAAGAAGGUUUUCAAUAUGAGAACAACACUGAUAUGUGCGGAACUGGAUUCAAUUCUUUAAGAACUUGCACUUCUGCGGAUCUCCUAAACCCUACCCGGCCCGAACCGUUUAGUGCCGGCGUCGCCCCGCACGCAAUUCCCCAAUCAGUUAACACCGCUGGCCGUUGCGAUACAAACCACUGCUCUCACUCUUUGAAAUCUUCUUCAGUGGCCGCCAUUUCCUCCGUUUCUAUAAUCGCGCUCCUGGGGUUUAUAUUCGGGCUAAUUGCAUUCUCGAGGUAUAGAAGCCGUAAGCAAAACCGUGGUAGCGCUCCAAUUAUUUCCACUAAUAACUCGUGUCGUAGAAGUGCUUCUUCUCUCAUCAACCUCGACUACUCUAAUGGUUGGGAUCCUUUAGCCGAUGGGAAAAGUGCUCUUGGGUUCUCCGAAGAAGUUUCAACGAGCUUUCGUUUCAAUCUUGAGGAAGUGGAGUUUGCCACUCAAUACUUCUCGGAGGUGAAUUUACUUGUGAAAAAAUCGAAUUCUUUAGCUACUUAUAAAGGGAUUUUGCGGGACGGGAGUGCGGUGGUGGUGAAGAGGAUAAGCAAGACAAGUUGCAAGUCGGAAGAGGCCGAUUUUCUACACGGGUUGAAGAUAAUUACUUCUUUAAAGCACGAUAAUAUUGUUAAGUUGAGGGGUAUUUGUUGCUCUCGAGGGAGGGGGGAGUGUUUUCUUGUUUACGAUUUCGUUCGUAACGGGAGUUUGUUGCGGUAUUUGGACGUGAACGGCGAAGAGAUCAAUCGCGUUCUCGAGUGGGCCACGAGAGUUUCCAUCAUCAAAGGCAUUGCUAAAGGUACCUCUCUUUCUCUUUAUUGAUAGCGAUGCGGAGUUAUGCAUGUUGUGUUUCCUAGUUAUCUUAUUUCUAGUUGUAUUCAUUUGAAUUGCAACUUAUUUUACUUGAUUGAUGCUUUUAGAUGAAAAUUAUCUUCAUACAUUGCCAUGAAAUUUGGAUGGACGUAAUGUUGACGCUAUAAAACGAACUAACGCAAACUUAGAUCGAUUUCCAUUCAUUUUAUUUAGGAUCUAAGUUGAUUUCUCGAGUGAGAUUAAUCGACCAUCUUUGUUUCUUAUCCAGGGAUACAGUACCUCCACAGCGAAACCCUAAACAAGCCUUCUCUAAUCCACCAAAACAUAUCCGCGGAGAAAAUUCUACUUGACCAAAAUUUCAAGCCUCUAAUCUCCAGCUCAGGCCUUCAUAACCUAUUAGCCGAUGAUGUCAUCUUCGCAACCCUAAAGGCAAGCGCCGCUAUGGGUUACUUAGCUCCAGAGUACGGAACCGUUGGUCGCUUCACCGAGAAAAGUGAUGUUUACGCUUUUGGGAUCAUCAUCUUCCAAGUGAUUUCGGGAAAAAGGAUGACCGCAGAAUUAAGGCUAUUGGCGGAAUCAGGUAAGCUCGAGGAUCUCAUCGAUGGGAACUUGAAGGGGGAGUAUUCGAAGGAAGAGGCCACUAAAUUGGGGCGCGAUGCGUUGGUUUGCACAAGCGAAGAUCCGAACAGAAGGCCAACAAUGGAGGCCUUGCUUCAAGAAUUCGGAGAUAUAUAACUCAUGAUAGUGUUGUUCUUCAAGUUGCAUGGACUCAAGGUAAAUUACGGCGGUAGUGCUCUAACUUUUUCUUUGUGAAGUUUUAUUUCAGUUGUCGAACUUAAAGUUUAUGCAUUAUGCACAUUGAACUCGCGCGUGUAAGUGUUCUACUAUAAUCCCCCUAAUCAACACUAGUAAGUAAGAGUAACAAGGAUGCACCAACACGCCGACAUGCACUCGAUCUGUAGCCACGCAAUUGAUUGGGAGGAUUACAAUGAAUCGCUUAUUCUGGAUUUCAAAUGCUUAAGUUUAAAGUUAAAGUUCGAGGACUAAAGUUAAUCUUUUUGGAAACUUCGCGGUUAAUUGCACUAAACCUUUAUAUUCACCAGCUAAAGGGAAGUGGAAGUACUGCAUCAUGGUUGCUAACUACUAACUCUAGAAGCUUCUAGGAUUCCAUUUCUCAAGGAUCUUUGAUAUCUUAGUGUGCUAAUUCCACUGUAUUAAUAUUAACCUUAAUCCUUGUUGUUUAUGGGAGCAUGUGAUCUCUCUCUUAUCUUUCUAGACCUUUUUUUUUUUUUUUUUUUUUUGGCCUGGUGGGGACUCUUGUGAACCAAUGUACUAUAUUAAUUUAAAUGUUGUGUGGAUUUUUGGGUGAGUCCAUUGUGGAAGAGCCAAAGUGUUAAGGCAACAUGUGAGUUUAAAUUUUUUGAGUGGUUUUGUCCUUGUGUGUGGAUUGUAGUGCAUGCUUUUUCUUCUCUGAGAAAUGACAGAGCAGAGCCUUGUGGGGUAUGCACCUGCAUCUCAGAUGAUACUGUUAUGCAUGAUGACUAAUUGUGUGGCAAAAGAUCCUUGUGUAACUCUGUGUGUGUGUGUGUGUGUGUGUGUGUGUGUGUGAGAGAGAGAGAGAGAGAGAGAGAGAGAGAGAGAGUUCACACGUAAUUUGUGUAGAAAAAGAUCCUUCUGUGUGUGCAUGUGUGUGUGUGUGUGUGUGUGAGAGAGAGAGAGAAGAGAGAGUGCAUACAUACUAAGAGAGAGAGAGAGAGAGAGUGCAUACAUUCUAAGAGAGAGAGAGAGAGAGAGUGCAUACAUUCUAAGAGAGAGAGAGAGAGAGAGAAAGAGAGAGAGAGAGUGCAUACAUACUAAGACUAAGAAAGAGUCACUAUAAGAAAAUUAACAUUUAAUGACUUUUUUAUAUUUAAUAAUAUUUAAAAAUAUUCUAAUCUAGCGCCAUAUUUAAAAGUGUUGGCAAAUGAAGAUUCGGCAUGUAUAUACCAACGUUUAUGGUAAGUAUCGGUAAUUAAAAUAUAUUCUGACGCUUUAAAACAUUAGAAUUUUCUGUUUUUAAAAUUUUUUUGAAGUUUUAAAACGUUAGAAAAUUUACUAUUAUAAAUAAUAGUUAAGCUUAUUAUUUUAUAAAUUGAAAUUGAUUUUAUGUAAUAAAGGGUUCAUAAUGACUCUCUCCUAAGCGCUAUCUAAAAAAUAUCUUUAUAUUGAGAUUUUCUUGUAACCAGUGAGAGGACAUAUUAUUAUAAAGUUUGAUGAAUAAAAAAGUGAAAACUUUUAUUGGGAAAGUAAAACAAAAUUUUGAGCCUCGAAAAUAAAAAGUGAGAAGCUUUUCAUUUGAUAUUUUGAUUUCUUUGUGCAAAAAAAUUGUUGAAAAAAAUAUUAUGUUUAUAAUAUUUUUUAAUAGCAUUGAUUACCGUGCGCUUUAUUAAUAGCACUACAACCAAACAAAGAGGAAAUGCCUUUGAAUUUGAAAUGAAAAUUGUUUGAUAUGCUCUUCAAUACUUUAAAAAGGUUUAUAUGUCAAAGCCUCGUUUGGUUAUCAUAUUUUUAAAUAUUUUUAAAUAGAAUUUCUAACUACAAAGUGUAAAAAGGAAAGGCUGAUUGGGUGUAAUUUUUUACAUUCAAGAUGUUUAUUUGACAUAAAAAAUUUAAAAGCAAAUUUUUUUUUUAUAAAUUUCAAUAUAUAUUUUCUUUAAGAAGUUUACACCAUAACUCAAAUUUGCAGGAAUGCAUUGCGAACUAACCAAUAAUUAUAGCAAAGGGAAAAAUUUUUCUGUGGGGUACUUAAAAUUAUAUAGAAUUAGUGUUUUUAAAUAUAAAAUAUAGCAAUGAUACAAAAGGAGGCCUAAAAAUUAUUAUUUUUGUUUGAUAAUAUUUGGUUAAUUUACAAAUAAUAGAUAUUUAACACAGCUGAUUUUUUGCAACUAUUUAAUAUAUGGAUAAUAAGUUUUCAUAUAUUAUGAUUUUUCAUAUGUAAAUAUGUAAAUAGUCCAAGCCCAUCUUAAUGGGCUUUAGGUGGGCUACGCCCAUUAUUAACCCAAGAAGCUCCCCUUAAUCAUUAAUUGCAUGUGUUCGACUAUAUAUAUAUAUAUAUAUAUAUAUGAGUUGAGCUAGAAUACUCUCGAGCCCGUUUACUCUCGAGUUGUUUUCGAUGAUAGAGCUUCCAAAUUGACGAUCAGCUCCGUUAAAUAUGAUCUAAACCAUUUAAACUAUCUAGAAAUCAAAUUUUACGCACUUUCGAUAUUGUUUUAUAUCCAUCUAGUGAACAGAAAAAUGAAUGGCUGAAAAUGAAUAUUCUUUAAAAAAUGAUGAUAGGAGUCUUGUAAUCAAGAUCAAGAGUAUAGAUCUUGUUUUAAAUAGUUUAAAGAAUUUUCUAACAAAAAUUCAAUUGAUUUCACGCACUUUCGAUAUUGUUUUAUAUCCAUCUAGUGAACAGAAAAAUGAAUGGCUGAAAAUGAAUAUUCUUUAAAAAAUGAUGAUAGGAGUCUUGUAAUCAAGAUCAAGAGUAUAGAUCUUGUNUGCCAUAUAGUCCAAGUUUUUGUAGUAUAUACCUCUUCGAUGCUACAUUGUAUUUUGCAUCUUGAUUUAUGAAAUCAGUGGUUUGUUUGCUAACUCUUCUGUGAUGUUUAUGUGGCUGGCAUAUUCUUGAGGAUUAUAUUUUUAUGUCUCUUGUGGAUUGUACUUUAGAGAAACUUGGAUAAAUAUUUGUCUAUAAUUCGCCAAAUGCUCUUUUGAAAUUAGAGAUUUCAUGCAGUAAAGUUUAAAACAUAAGUGCAAUAUGUUGAUAUGUUUAAACAUCAGUUAUUUUGUAAGAGAUAAUUUUCUGUUUGACAGGAUAGAGGAAGCGGAAGCACAAUGUGCAUUGCUAAAUUCGGCAUCCUUUUGUGUAAGUGGAAUGAUUCUUUUGUAUUUAAACAAUCUGGCUUUUACCUCUAUAAUGACUAUCUCGAUUUUCAGGAUGGGUGCUUCACUUCAGAUUCAGAUAUUUUCCUUUUCGGAGCAAGGACAGUAUAUAGAGAUAUUAUUCUAGGUAAUUUCUUGAACUUCUAACCGAAGUAAAUAAAGAAGAUACUUACUGAUAACAUAGCUUCCUCAAACCAUAUAUUUUGCUUUUUUUUUUAAAAAAAAAAACCAGAUUUUGUUUUUGUUUUGCCAUUCAUCCAGCUAGUUAUCUUACAUUUACAAAAUUUCUUUUUGGAAUUAGGAGAGGGUGGAUAUGUUAUUUGUUAUGAGAUGGUAGAUGUAGAGCGCAAACUUGGGUUUGGAAGGAACUCACUGGUAAGGUGCCUUCUACAUCUUGUUGUAUGGAGCCACACACCCUUUCUUUGUUUUCUCUUACCAAUGAAGUUUUUGGCAAUUUUCCAUUUAUGUAAUAUUAUGUUAUUGAGAGUUUUGAAAUUACAAAGUUUCAAUUCUUAUAAUAUGUGAAGUGAAUUUGCAGCUUAGCCAUGAAACUAUCUAUUUGCAAACCUGCAAAUAACGGAAUAAGGUUUUGUAUGUCACUAUGACUUUAUGAGAUAUAUAUAUAUAUAUAUAUAUAUAUAUAUAUAUAUAUAUAUAUCUAUAUAUAUAUAUAUAUAUAUAUAUAUAUAUAUAUAUAUAAAUGCCUAGCUUGCAUACAAAUAAAUAGAGAAAAAUAUUUGAUGAUAAAAGUAAAAUAGUUAGCUAAAUAUAUAUUUAGAAACUUUUUCAUAUAUAUAUCUUGAUCAAACUUAUGCGAUCAAUCGAUUAAAAUAGUUACUCUCCAUAAUUACACGUAACAAAAUUUUUCCACAUGUUUCUGUAGUCAAUAAAAACUAACAUAACAUCGCUAGCGCAUACCUUAAGUACAUUAAUUAAUUAGUGGUAGCAUUUUUCAUCUGCUUGUUUAUUUAGUCUAUAUUUUGCUACGUUUUUGUCCGAUUAUAUCGUUGUUUGAUUUCGACAUGGCUGCUGCUUUUGCACACAUUUUAUGCUUAUUAUAAUUCAUUAGUAGUCGAUAGUUUUAUCUUAUCAAGAAACCAUUAAUUUGACAAAGUAAAAGAACCAUAUAUAUAUACAUAUAUAUAUAUAUCUCAUUACAUGUUGUUGCUUGUUUAUGCUGUGUUAAACUAGUAAUAAUAAACAUUAUAUAUAGUGAGAGCUACAUAAAUAUCAUCUAUGUGGAUACAUUAAUUAAGUAGCAUUAACUUGCAAGUUGAUAAUUUACAACAAAGUUUGACUAAGAUUGCUUGGGUGCUAAACAAUUUAUAUAUAUGGCGUGAUAGUUAUGUAGUUGAAUCCAACAAAUGGAUAACUCUCAUGAGAGAAUUAGUUAGAAGAGGCCACGAUUUCAAUAUGCAACUAUAUAUAUAUAUAUAUAUAAGCACGUAUAUUCAAAUUUGGGUCUGUCGACAGACCCAUUUUUAGGCGGGAAAAUUAGCGCUCAUUUUUCUCUUUCCGUACGAAAAAUUUUAAAUAUAAGAAUAAAAAUAGAAAUAGAAACAACAAUGUAAGUUCUCUAUAACAGACUAUUUAAUUUCAAAAGUAAGUUUUCUAUAACAGAUUACGGGUGUGAAAAUUCUAUAAAAGAUAUUUUCCUAUUUUAUUUUAAAAUAUCUUUUUUAGAUAUUAUCUAUUUAAUUUCAAAAUAUAUUUUCUUUUUGAUUACGUUUUUAAUGAAAACUUUAAUUUAUCUUUUUAUUUUAGACAAUUCUUUAUUUAAAAACUUUAAUUUAUCUUUUUAUUUUAGGCAAUAGACNACGGCCGUUAACACUUUAAAUUUAAACGAUUACUAAUUAUUUCAGUCGUACACAAAUUCAUAAUCCUGAUGUGAUCGAGUUGGGACCGCGCGUUGUUGGAGAUAUAUAUAUAUAUAUAUAUAUAUAUAUAUAUAUAAAUCUUAUUUUAAAAAAAGUGUCUCCUCAACCUAUUAGGUUUAAAAGCUUUUAUAAUUUUAAAAUUAUUUUUUAAAAAAGUUUUUAAAAAUAAAAUUUUAAAAAUAUUCUUGUGCAACGACUAGUAGUCAAUGGAUUUAAAUUUAUUUCUUGUCAUGUGAGAUGAAAAACAUUACUAUAUAUCGUAACAAGCUAAUUAUCAAUAUUUUUUUCCAAAAAAAAAAAGAGUUUGCCAAGNNNNNNNNNNNNNNNNNNNNNNNNNNNNNNNNNNNNNNNNNNNNNNNNNNNNNNNNNNNNNNNNNNNNNNNNNNNNNNNNNNNNNNNNNNNNNNNNNNNNNNNNNNNNNNNNNNNNNNNNNNNNNNNNNNNNNNNNNNNNNNNNNNNNNNNNNNNNNNNNNNNNNNNNNNNNNNNNNNNNNNNNNNNNNNNNNNNNNNNNNNNNNNNNNNNNNNNNNNNNNNNNNNNNNNNNNNNNNNNNNNNNNNNNNNNNNNNNNNNNNNNNNNNNNNNNNNNNNNNNNNNNNNNNNNNNNNNNNNNNNNNNNNNNNNNNNNNNNNNNNNNNNNNNNNNNNNNNNNNNNNNNNNNNNNNNNNNNNNNNNNNNNNNNNNNNNNNNNNNNNNNNNNNNNNNNNNNNNNNNNNNNNNNNNNNNNNNNNNNNNNNNNNNNNNNNNNNNNNNNNNNNNNNNNNNNNNNNNNNNNNNNNNNNNNNNNNNNNNNNNNNNNNNNNNNNNNNNNNNNNNNNNNNNNNNNNNNNNNNNNNNNNNNNNNNNNNNNNNNNNNNNNNNNNNNNNNNNNNNNNNNNNNNNNNNNNNNNNNNNNNNNNNNNNNNNNNNNNNNNNNNNNNNNNNNNNNNNNNNNNNNNNNNNNNNNNNNNNNNNNNNNNNNNNNNNNNNNNNNNNNNNNNNNNNNNNNNNNNNNNNNNNNNNNNNNNNNNNNNNNNNNNNNNNNNNNNNNNNNNNNNNNNNNNNNNNNNNNNNNNNNNNNNNNNNNNNNNNNNNNNNNNNNNNNNNNNNNNNNNNNNNNNNNNNNNNNNNNNNNNNNNNNNNNNNNNNNNNNNNNNNNNNNNNNNNNNNNNNNNNNNNNNNNNNNNNNNNNNNNNNNNNNNNNNNNNNNNNNNNNNNNNNNNNNNNNNNNNNNNNNNNNNNNNNNNNNNNNNNNNNNNNNNNNNNNNNNNNNNNNNNNNNNNNNNNNNNNNNNNNNNNNNNNNNNNNNNNNNNNNNNNNNNNNNNNNNNNNNNNNNNNNNNNNNNNNNNNNNNNNNNNNNNNNNNNNNNNNNNNNNNNNNNNNNNNNNNNNNNNNNNNNNNNNNNNNNNNNNNNNNNNNNNNNNNNNNNNNNNNNNNNNNNNNNNNNNNNNNNNNNNNNNNNNNNNNNNNNNNNNNNNNNNNNNNNNNNNNNNNNNNNNNNNNNNNNNNNNNNNNNNNNNNNNNNNNNNNNNNNNNNNNNNNNNNNNNNNNNNNNNNNNNNNNNNNNNNNNNNNNNNNNNNNNNNNNNNNNNNNNNNNNNNNNNNNNNNNNNNNNNNNNNNNNNNNNNNNNNNNNNNNNNNNNNNNNNNNNNNNNNNNNNNNNNNNNNNNNNNNNNNNNNNNNNNNNNNNNNNNNNNNNNNNNNNNNNNNNNNNNNNNNNNNNNNNNNNNNNNNNNNNNNNNNNNNNNNNNNNNNNNNNNNNNNNNNNNNNNNNNNNNNNNNNNNNNNNNNNNNNNNNNNNNNNNNNNNNNNNNNNNNNNNNNNNNNNNNNNNNNNNNNNNNNNNNNNNNNNNNNNNNNNNNNNNNNNNNNNNNNNNNNNNNNNNNNNNNNNNNNNNNNNNNNNNNNNNNNNNNNNNNNNNNNNNNNNNNNNNNNNNNNNNNNNNNNNNNNNNNNNNNNNNNNNNNNNNNNNNNNNNNNNNNNNNNNNNNNNNNNNNNNNNNNNNNNNNNNNNNNNNNNNNNNNNNNNNNNNNNNNNNNNNNNNNNNNNNNNNNNNNNNNNNNNNNNNNNNNNNNNNNNNNNNNNNNNNNNNNNNNNNNNNNNNNNNNNNNNNNNNNNNNNNNNNNNNNNNNNNNNNNNNNNNNNNNNNNNNNNNNNNNNNNNNNNNNNNNNNNNNNNNNNNNNNNNNNNNNNNNNNNNNNNNNNNNNNNNNNNNNNNNNNNNNNNNNNNNNNNNNNNNNNNNNNNNNNNNNNNNNNNNNNNNNNNNNNNNNNNNNNNNNNNNNNNNNNNNNNNNNNNNNNNNNNNAUAUAUAUAUAUAUAUAUAUAUAUAUAUAUAUGUAUGAACAACUUGCUCUUUUCUAUGUAACCAAGUUGUAAUUUGUAUUCUUGUUGUAUAUAUAUAUACACACACAUUAUAUGUAGUUGUAAACCAUUACUACAUAAAAGAAAAAAAAAAAAAGAAAACAAGAAAAAGUGAUCUUUGACUCGAUUACAUUAACCUUGAUGUGAGUAGAUUGCAUGUACGUUAUAAAUUUAAUCAACAUGCACCAUUAUAUAUAAGCAAAUUAAUUAAGCAUUUAAUUCAUCUUUACAUAUAUUUUGUAGAAAUGCAUACAUAGUAGUUAUUUCCUUGCUCAAAGUUUUAAUGUCAAUGAGCUAAAAAUGCUUCAUCCUAUUCACAUGUGAAUCAUACUAAAAAUGAUCAAUUUCUCUAACAAGCUAUUUACAAAAUCCCAUAAACAUUAUUAAUUACAAUUUCCCUACCAAUGUGAUCACUUUAAUUUUUUAUCAGUAAUUUUCAUACAAUAUACUCCAUUACUGUGCUAAUCUACUAUCUUAAUCUUAUUCAUGCAAAACUACCAAAGACCCAAAUUGAUAUCCAAAAUGGAAAAAAAAAAGGGAUCAUAUCCAAUUUUUUCCCUAUGUUUUUAAUAUUUCAUGAGCUGUAUAUUUGGUCUUUAGUAUUCAUGAAAGGAGUUGUAAAUUUUUGAUCCCUCCGUACUCAAUCUUUUUCCACUCCUAUAUGAUUAAUUUUAAUGAUCUUUCUUAAUGACUACCUCCAAAAAAAGAAAAAAGAAGCUCAUAAAGUUUGAAUACGAUUUCACUAUAACUUGAACUACUUUUUUGUUUUUCUUCGUGUCGUGUAUCUCAUGGGAUUGCAACUGUUAAAAAUGAUCAAUUUCUCUAACAAGCUAUUUACAAAAUCCCAUAAAUUAACAUUAUUACAAUUUCCCUACCAAUGUGAUCACUUUAAUUUUUUAUCAGUAAUUUUCAUACAAUACACUACUCCAUUACUGUGCUAAUCUACUAUCUUAAUCUUAUUCAUGCAAAACUACCAAAGACCUAAAUUAAUGUCCAAGAAGGAAAAAACAAGGGAUCAUAUCCAAUUUUUUCCUUUUGUUUUUAAUAUUUCAUGAGCUGUAUAUUUAGUCUUUAGUAUUCAUGAAAGGAGUUGUAAGUUUUUGAUCCCUCCGCAUCGCUCAAUCAUUUUUCCACUCCUAUAUGAUUAAUUUUAAUGAUCUUUCUUAAUGACUACCUCCAAAAAAAAGAAAAGAGAAGCUCACAAAGUUUGAAUACGAUUUCACUGUAACUUGAACUACUUGUUUGUUUUUCUUCGUGUCGUGUAUCACAUGGGAUUGUAACUGUCAUAUAUUAUUCAAACCUUAUUCAAAAUUCUCACUGUACUUGAAUUGGACAAAGGACAAGUUGAUGAAAAGUAAGAAAUGUUUGCUUCUGAUUUUUUCCAAAUCUAUGGGCUCUCUUAAAGACAAGGUUGCGCGAGCUUAUGUAAUUAAGAUGGUAUGCAAUUCUACAUAUUUUAGUUGACUAAACACUUUUAUUUAGAAUUUUUUUUUUGGCUUAAUGUUGCAUGCAAGAUAAAUUAACUUCAGUAUAUAAUGAAAAUAACAUAGAGUAAUUUCCAUUAAUCAAGCUAUAUAUAUGUGUACAAGUUACAUAGAAUAAGCCUCAAUUUGUUAUAUAAGCAUGAUUUUUCUUAGUACAACAUAAAAUUAAUCCAAAUUAGUCACUAUACUUAUCAUGAAGUUUCCCUUAGGAUAACUUAGCGAAGUUCCAUGUAAUGGCAAUUGAGUCACUAAAUCUUAUGUUUUGUUUCACUCAAAUCACUCUAUACUAAACUCGAGUUUAGUUUUUUUUCGUCAUACAAACGAAAUGACGACUAAUCGAGCUGAAAUGAUACAGCUAUAAUACAUUGACAACUGAUUCAAUUGCCACAUCAUCUAAGGAUCCUUAAAAUUAAAUUCAAUGCAUCCUUACAGAAUGAUGUGAUAGCUCAACUACACAAAGUUGAAGAUAACAUGAUAGUUAAAUUAGUUGUCGCACAGUUCCUUCAUUAAAGAACUAUUUGGACAAAGUUUAAUACAAUGACCCACACUGAAAUCAUAAGCAAUUAAUUCUUUGUGAUAUAUUAAAGUUCAACAAUCAAAGGAGUUCAAUUUCUCAGUAUUUAACUUAGUCCAAAGUUUCCCACUCUAAAUUUUGAGUUUGGACAAAGUUAACAUCAUGGGCCAAAUGGUUCGAUCUUUUAUAAAAAAUUUGGCUCCACAAAUAACUAAUUGACUAUGAACAUUUAAUAUGCCUAAUUAAAUAAUCACAUAGGAUUAGGAACAUGGUUAGUUAUGUAUGCAAAUCUAGUUUAAGAUUAUCGGUUAUAUAUCAUUUUGGACCCACCAAUUAAUGUUGGAUAUUUGUAGGAAAGUCAAAGUAAUCAGUGAAUUUAAAAGCUAAAACAACUAGUUUAAUUAGCUGUUCACUGUACACGGGCUAAUGUUUUUAUUGAAAAUGCUAUCCCUUGCUUAGUAUAAUCAUUUAAACAUAAUUAUUAAUUGUUUUCUAUGUUCUUUAUAUUAUAUAUUUAUUACGAGAAGAUAUCAAAGUCGAAAUGAUCGAAACAUUUAACACCGCGAAUAUGAAAAUACAUUUUUGUUUGGUUUGCUUAUCUGUUUUAGAUUUAUUUCUUAUUUAAUAUUAACUUUUCGAUUAGCUAUCGCGAUAAGAAGUGUGUUAGAGAUGUGCACUCAUCAGUAAACAUCAUUAACUAAAAUACAACUUACUUACAAUUUUUAUUGAUCACUUGUCUCGCUAUUAGAAUAGUUUUUUCAAUGUAAACAAAAUUAGAGUGACAUGUGCAAAGGCUACGAUGUAUACUUUGUUAUUUUCUAAUAAGAAGGAUAUUAUCAAUUCAUCUACGUAUCAAUUAAUCUUACCUUAGCAUGUAAAAUGUGUUUAGAUCCUAAUGGAAAGGUAGGAUCCGCUAAAUCUUGCUUCUCAAAAAGAUACAUUAUAAUAAAUAGGAUUGUUUUAAAAUCAGAAAACAAUUGUCCUUUCCUAUCUCUUCAGUUUCUUAAUUCUUGGCAUAAUUUCUUGUCGGAAAUAAUAAAAUUAGCAGUUCCACGUAAAUUUUUAUCUCAUUACCUAUCACUAGAUCCGUUGGUAGGUUAUCAGUAUCUUGAAUAAUGAGCUUUUGAUUUGAAUCCUGCAGUGUUUAUAUAAAAAGUGUUAUAAAAAAAAAAUUAUUGAAAAUAGCGUGCACAGCAAAAAAAAAAUCUUAACGUACAAUGGCACUAAAGAAAUAUGAAACAAAAAUAUUAUGACAUUAAAUGAUUGAUACAGAGAUUUAAACUCGAUACUUAUUGGAACUAAAGAAGCUCAUGCACCACUGACUCUGAUACUAUAUAUAUAAACCUAAGAGAUAUAGAAAUAUAAUUUAAAAAUAAUCUUAACUCCGAAAAAAUGCAAGCAAAUGCACCGUUUCUGUAGCCAUUUAAAUAUUCUAAUUUUAUUUCUAAUAUUUCAAUUUAUUUGAUUUAAACAGUUAGUGACCCUAAAUUUUAAAAAUUUGAAUGCAUCGUUUAUCUUUACAGAUUUGAUUAAUAUAUUUUAUGUAAUUUAUAUAGCUAUAAAUUUAUUGAAAUAAACAGUUAACUUAAAUUUUGUAUCGAACGAUUCAUCAAAUUAUUUAAUUAAAUAAAUUAACAACUAAAAUUAAAAUUUUAAAAGAUCAAAUAAUCUUUUUUUUUUUUUUUUUGAGAGAGAUAUGUAGCACGCAACCCGCUUCAUUUAUUUCAUUUAGAAUAAACUUAACUGGAAAUGUGAAUCAAUUAGGAUUUGAACUUGGGUUUCGGAUAUUAACCACUAAAUCCUUUGCCACUUGUUGUAGGGACGGUCGGUAAAAAAGAUGAGAAAAUUGAUUCAAAAUGACCUAUAGUUCAAAUAAAUUUUAUACAUUUUUAUCGGGAAUAUAUGGUUUUUUUUUACAAAUAGUCCUCUCACAAAUUUUAUUUGCAAAAAUAGUCCUGUCCGAAAAUUAUUUGCAAAAAUGGCCCUGCCCCUGCCACGCCAGAGCCACGUCAGCGCCACGCGGGCAGAGCGGGCCCAGAUGUUUAAGUUGAACACGGUGAACCAUUCACCGUGUUCAAUACAAGAUUUUUGUAUUGGACACGGUGAAUGGUUCACCGUAUCCAAUACAAAUAUCCAAACAAUGGCUAAGUUGGAGGUAUUUGUAUUAGACACGGUGAAUCAUUCACCGUGUCUAAUUAUUUGUAUUAGACACGGUGAAUGUUUCACCAUGUCCAAUACAAAUAUUGCGAUCUUAGCUAUUUUGUAUUGGACACGGUGAAUCAUUCACCGUGUCCAAUACAAAAACUUUGUAUUGAACACGGUGAAUGGUUCACCGUAUUCAACUGAACCAUCUGGCCCAGUCCCGCCGGCGUGGCGCUGACGUGGUGCUUGCGUGGCAGGGUCAGGACCAUUUUUGUAAAUAAAUUUUUGACAGUACUAAUUUUAAAAAAAAAAUUUAUAAGAGGGCUAUUUGCAAAAAAAGCCCGGAAUAUAUAUAUUGCUAACUCCUCCUACACAUAUAUAUAUAUAUAUAUAUAUAUAUAUAUAUAUAUAUAUAAGAGGUGGCAAUCCAACCCACAUCACCCCAACACUCUCAUUGGCCAUCACUUGUUGACCACACAUUACAAAACCCUAGAAAUAGAAGCCCACAUCACCCUUAUAUUUCCCUUUUGCAUUUUUCUCACCCUUAAGAUAAGUACAGCAACAUCUCCAUCCUUACUUACUUGUACUUUCUUUUUCCCUACAUGUCCUUUCUCUCUCUCUCUGGUAUACUGUAUUUGGACGCAACCACAGCCACUUACACCCCCACAUGUCUCUCUCUAGAUUUAUCUCUAGAUUUUUCCAUAUUUAUCUCUCUCUCUCUCUCUUUCUCUCUCUCUCUCUCUCUCUCUCUCUCUCUCUCUCUUUCCUAAUUAAACUUAAGUUUUUAUUAAAUGUGUAAGUUAUUCAAGUCAAGGAGGGGUGAGUAGUUUUAUAUUUGUGCGUCAAAGUCAGAGCCUAUUCAUCACCAUAAAUAGCCCACAGGGCCAUAACCUUUUUAUUUUUUUUUUCUAAAAUACCUCUUAUAUGUUCCACCGUUAUUAUAAAUAAAAUACCUCCGCAGUUAUCUCCUGUUAAGUAACUUAAGUUAAACGUGAGUUAAAUAUCUACCACAACUAAAAAACUUAAAAUACCAAUUUUGCCCUUAACUUUAGGGCAAAUAAGAAAUGUUGGUGACAGUAGAGGGGUAUAUUAAAAAAGAUCAAAAGUUAAAAUACUUUUUGUGCCCCUGACUUUAAGGACAAAUAAGAAAGUCGGCGAUGGUGGAAGGGUAUACUUGAAAGGGCAAAAUAGUAAUCUUACAAAGAUAACAGAGUUAAUAAACUGAUUUUAACUCUAGAGAUAUAUUAGAAAUAGGUUGAAACGUAGAAAGGGUAUUUUCAAUAUUAGCCUUCUAAGAGGAGUAAAUCGCGAGUCGGAAAUUUUUCACGGGUAUAUAAACAAUUGCCCCUUUUUUUAAAUAGUAGGGAACAAAUUUUUUUUUUUUACCAUUAUUUAGUUGAAAGGAAGAAAACAAAAUUAUUAUAUAUAUUUUUUCUUAUUAUAUAUAUUAUAUUAUUAUUAAUUUAUAAUAAUUAGUAUACUAUAUAUAUUAUUAUUAUAUUUUUAAAAAUAAAUAUAUUUAAAAUAUAUUAUAUAAUAAGUUUGUAAUAUAAUACAUAAUAGUAUAUUAUAUUUAGUACUAUAAAAUAAAUUACUAUAUAUUUAUAAAUAAUAUUUAUAAAUAUAAUAUUAUAUAGUAAUAUAUUAUAUAAAAAUAAAAUAUUAUAUAUAUAUAUAUAUAUAUAUAGAGUGAGGCUACUAUACUUCUAGAAGCACGGAGCUUUCCGUGCUUCCAGAUCUUUUUCCAUGUUGCGACUUUCGAAUCGUCGAUCGGCUCUAUUAAACUUAAUCUAGAGUAUUUAAAGUAGCUAGAAAAUAAAUUUUGCAAUUUUUCGAUAUCAUUUGUCUAGUGAACAAAGGGGCUCAAAAUCAACGGCUGAAAAUAAAAAUCUUACAAAAUGUAAUAAUAUGACAUUAAAAUUUUAGAUCAAAAAUAUUGAUCUUAUUUUAGAUCUGGAUAUUUCUAUACCGUUAAACUUGCAAACGGCUCACUACGGCCAUUAAAAUUAUUGAUUUUGAGCCCCUUCGAUCACUAGACAAAUGAUAUCGAAAAAUUAUAAAAUUUAUUUUCUAGUACUUCAAAUACUCUAGAUCAAAUUUUACGGAGCCGAUCGACGAUUCGAAAGUCGCAACAUCAAAAACGACCUGAGAGCACGGAAGGUUCCGUGCUUCUAAAAGCAUAAUAACCUCAUACACUAUAUAUAUAUAUAUAUAUAAUGAAG
rnacentral:lncRNA from 1 species